AGGCGCGAGUGAUCAUGCUCUUCUGAAGUUUACUAUACAGCGGAAAGGAGCAGCCAAGCAUACUAGGACUCAAUUUCUUGACUUUAAGAAAGCCGACUUCAUAAAACUUAGGGAAGUGCUGGGUGAGAUCCCAUGGACAGUAAUACUAAAAGGAAAGGGAGUUCAUGAUGGCUGGGAGUUUGUUAAGAGGGAGAUACUAAAAGCACAACGUCAGGCAAUACCAAUGAGACAGAAACAUGGAAGGUGCCUAAAGAAGCCAGGGUGGCUAUCUAGAAUGUUGCCUAGAAUGUUGUUUUUGUUCCAAACUUUGCAGAUUGUGGACAAAAUGGAUUGUUUCAAGAGGUGGCAGAAAGAUAUUUCUAAAUUUGUCUGGCAGGGCAAGAAGCCCAGAAUAAAAUUUAAAAUUUUAACGGAUGCAAAGGAAAGAGGUGGAUUUGCCCUGCCAGACCUGAAACUUUACUAUGAAUCAGCAGCUUUUUGCUGGUUGAAAGAAUGGCUACUUCUUGAAAACACUGACAUUUUGGACUUGGAAGGUUUCAAUAAUGUAUUUGGAUGGCAUGCAUAUUUAUGGUAUGAUAAGGUCAAAGCACAUAAAGCGUUUAGAAACCACAUUGUCAGGAAAGCGCUAUUUAAUGUUUGGUUAAGAUAUAAGGAUCUGUUAGAAAACAAAACCCCAAGGUGGCUGUCACCAAUGGAAGCUAAAGCCUUGAAAAAGGUCAAUAUGGAGGUCAAAUGGCCGAAAUAUUGGGAAAUUUUGGAACAAGAUGGAGAUAGACUGAAAUUGCAGAGUUUUGAAAAACUAAAAAACAAAGUGCGAGACUGGCUUCAUUAUUAUCAGAUAAUGGAGGUAUUUAAAUUGGACAGGAAAAUUGGCUUCCAGGUGGAAAGAUCAAAAUUAGAAACAGAAUUGUUAGAACCCAAUACUGAGAAUUUGUCAAGAAUGUAUAACUUGCUGCUGAAAUGGAAUACUCAGGAUGAAACGGUAAAAUCGGCUAUGAUUAAAUGGGCACAGGACAUGUUUGCUGACUGGGAACAGUUGUGGACCACAGGUAUGAAAUUUACGGCAUGUAAUGCCUUAAGAGAGAAUAUUAUGAAAAUGAUAUACAGGUGGUACAUAACCCCAGUCAAGCUUGCAAAAAUCUACCAUUUGCCCGAUAAUAAAUGUUGGAAAUGUAAAGAAACCGAAGGUACAUUUUUUCACCUUUGGUGGACGUGCCCAAAGAUUAAGGCUUUCUGGGAAAUGAUAUAUAAUGAAUUAAAAAAGGUAUUUAAGUAUACCUUCCCUAAGAAACCAGAGGCCUUCCUCCUGGGCAUAGUCGGCCAAAUGGUGGUAAAAUAGGAUAGAACUUUCUUUAUGUAUGCAACAACAGCAGCAAGAAUACUUAUCGCAAAGUAUUGGAAGACACAAGAACUUCCCACACUGGAGGAAUGGCAGAUGAAACUUAUGGACUAUAUGGAAUUGGCGGAAAUGACUGGUAGAAUCCGUGACCAGGGAGAAGAGUCGAUGGAGGAAGACUGGAAGAAAUUCAAAGACUAUCUUCAGAAACAUUGCAAAAUUAAGGAAUGGUAAAGUGAUGUUGGACUGAAAAUAAGUGGUUUCCAGCUGCACAGGUUAAAGUUAAUGAUAGAUUAAGAUUAAAGAUCAAGAUUAAAGAUGUUUAAAGAAAUGGAAAUUUGAUAUUAAAAGGGAAAAUUUUAACGUUAUAUGAUAUUAAGAUCAAGGAUUAGGUUUAAAGAAGUUGAAGUUAUAUAUUUUAACAUUUUAUUAAAUUAAAGAUUGGGAUUAAAAAGUGGAAAAGAAACUGCUGGACAAAUAAUUUGGAUUGGAAUACAAAAGAGGGAGGUAUGAGGAAGUCCAGAAAAUAAGUAAUCUAAAAAUGGAAAUGGAAAAGAGAGUUUGUUUUUAAUUGUUAUGUUUUUUGUUUUUUAUUGUUGAGUUUUGUAUUGCUUUUUGUAUGUGUUGUUUUUUUGUUGUUUAAAACUUUAAUAAAAAUUAUUAUAAAAAAAAAGAAAAGAAAGAAAGCCGACUUCAUAAAACUUAGGGAAGUGCUGGGUGAGAUCCCAUGGACAGUAAAACUAAAAGGAAAGGGAGUUCAUGAUGGCUGGGAGUUUGUUAAGAGGGAGAUAGUAAAAGUACAACUUCAGGCAAUACCAGUGAGACGGAAACAUGGAAGGUGCCUAAAGAAGCCAGGGUGGCUAUCUAAAGAACUUUUAACUGAGUUAAGAUUAAAAAAGGAUGUGUACAAAAAAUGGAAAAGGGGAGAAACCACCAAAGAGGAAUUCAAACAAAUAGCCAGCACGUGUAGACACAAAGUCAGAAAAGCUAAAGCACAGAAUGAACUCAGGCUUGCUAGAGAGGUUAAAAGCAACAAAAAAGGCUUUUAGGGGUAUGUUCGUAGCAAAAGGAAGAACAAAGAAACAGUGGGGUCACUCAGAGGAGAAGAUGGUGAAAUGCAAACAGAGGACACAGAAAGGGCUGAACUCCUCAAUACCUUCUUUGCCUCAGUCUUCUCCGAUAAAGAAAACAAUGCCUGACCUGAAGAAUUUGGAGCAAAUGAUUCAGCAGAGGAAACACAGCCCAGAAUAACUAAGGAGAUAGUACAAGAAUACUUGGCUAGUCUAGAUGUAUUCAAGUCUCCAGGGCCAGAUGAACUGCAUCCAAGAGUAUUAAAAGAAUUGGCAGAUGUGAUCUCAGAACCACUGGCAGUCAUCUUUGAGAAUUCCUGGAGAACAGGCGAAGUCCCGGCAGACUGGAGGAGGGCAAAUGUUGUUCCUAUUUUCAAAAAGGGGGAAAGAGAGGACCCAAAUAAUUACUGCCCAGUCAGUCUGACAUCAAUACCAGGGAAGAUUCUGGAGCAGAUCAUUAAGCAAACAGUCUGUGAGCACUAGAAAGGAAUGCUGUGAUCACCAAUAGUCAGCAUGGAUUUCUGAAAAAUAAGUCAUGUCAGACUAACCUGAUCUCGUUUUUUGACAGAAUUACAAGCCUGGUAGAUGAAGGGAAUGCAGUGGAUGCAGCCUACCUUGAUUUCAGCAAGGCAUCUGACAAGGUGCCCCAUGAUAUUCUUGUAAAGAAGCUGGUAAAAUGUGGUCUUGACUAUGUUACCACUCAGUGGAUUUGUAACUGGCUGACUGACCGAACCCAAAGGGUGCUCAUCAAUGGUUCCUCUUCAUCCUGGAGAAGAGUGACUAGUGGGGUGCCACAGGGUUCUGUCUUGGGCCCGGUCUUAUUCAACAUCUUUAUCAACGACUUGGAUGAUGGACUCAAGGGCAUCCUGAUCAAAUUUGCAGAUGACACCAAACUGGGAGGGGUGGCUAACACCCCACAGGACAGGAUCACACUUCAAAACGACCUUGACAGAUUAGAGAACUGGGCCAAAACAAACAAGAUGAAUUUGAACAGGGAGAAAUGUAAAGUAUUGCACUUGGGCAAAAAAAAUGAGAGGCACAAAUACAAGAUGGGGACACCUGGCUUGAGAGCAGUACAUGUGAAAAGGAUCUAGGAGUCUUGGUUGACCACAAACUUGACAUGAGCCAACAGUGUGAAGCGGCAGCUAAAAAAGCCAAUGCAAUUCUGGGCUGCAUCAAUAGGAGUAUAGCAUCUAGAUCAAGGGAAGUAAUAGUGCCACUGUAUUCUGCUCUGGUCAGACCUCACCUGGAGUACUGUGUCCAGUUCUGGGUACCACAGUUCAAGAAGGACACUGACAAACUGGAACGUGUCCAGAGGAGGGCAACCAAAAUGGUAAAAGGCCUGGAAACGAUGCCUUAUGAGGAAUGGCUAAAGGAGCUGGGCAUGUUUAGCUUGGAGAAGAGGAGGUUAAGGGGUGAUAUGAUAGCCACAUUCAAAUAUAUAAAAGGAUGUCACAUAGAGGAGGGAGAAAGGUUGUUUUCUGCUGCUCCAGAGAAGCGGACACGGCGCAAUGGAUCCAAACUACAAGAAAGAAGAUUCCACCUAAACAUUAGGAAGAACUUCCUGACGGUAAGAGCUGUUUGACAGUGGAAUUUGCUGCCAAGGAGUGUGGUGGAGUCUCCUUCUUUGGAGGUCUUUAAGCAGAGGCUUGACAACCAUAUGCCAGGAGUGCUCUGAUGGUGUUUCCUGCUUGGCAGGGGGUUGGACUCGAUGGCCCUUGUGGUCUCUUCCACCUCUAUGAUUUUAUGAUUCUUAUGUGUAAAAGCCAGAGACCUGCUUUAAAACACUCAUUAGCCACAUAAGGGAAGAAGGAGGAGUGAAUAGAAAAGGUGAUGGGAGAUCAGUUCAGGACUGCUAGUAUGAGAGGUGAAUUCGUAGCAGGCUUAUUAAUAAGGUUUGCUCUUCUUUGCUUGUGUUGUUAUUGGAAAGGAGGGAUGGAAUGAAAGCUUGCAGCAUUCCUUUGUCCACCAGGUAGUGACAUCUCCCAUACCCACAGGACAAUAUGGAUAUAUUGUCAGUGUGCAAUGUGUGCACCCAUUCCCCAAAAUGCUCUCUCAUACCCUCCAACAAUUCUUCGAAGAAAAUAGGGAUGUCCUAUUCAACAACAAGCAUCUUAAAAAGCAGAGACAUCACCUUGCCAACAAAGGUCCGUAUAGUUAAAGCCAUGGUUUUCCUAGAAGUGAUGUAUGGAAGUGAGAGCUGGACCAUAAAGAAGGCUGAUUGCCAAAGAAUUGAUGCUUUUGAAUUAUGGUGCUGGAGGAGACUCUUGAGAGUCCCACGGACUGCAAGAAGAUCAAACGUAUCCAUUCUUAAGGAAAUCAGCCCUGAGUGCUCACUGGAAGGACAGAUUGUGAAGCUGAGGCUCCAAUACUUUGGCCACCUCAUGAGAAGAGAAGACUCCCUGGAAAAGACCCUGAUGUUGGGAAAGAUGGAGGGCACAAGAGGAAGGGGACGACAGAGGACGAGAUGGUUGGACAGUGUUCUCGAAGCUACAAACACGAGUGUGACUAAACUUCUACUUCUACUUCAUUGGCUACGCAAAAGCUUUUGACUGUCGGCCACAGCAAACUAUGGGAAGUUCUUAAAGAAAUGGGAGUGCCUGAUCACUUCUGUCUCCUGAGAACUCUCUAUGUGGGACAAGAAGCUACAGUUAGAACUGGAUAUGGAACAACUGAUUGGUUCAAAAUUAGAAAAGGAGUACAACAAGGCUGUGUAUUGUCUCCCUGCUUAUUUAACAUAUGCAGAAUUCAUCAUGCGAAAGGCUGGGCUGGAUGAAUCCCUAGCCGGAAUUAAGAUUGCUGGAAGAAAUAUCAACAACCUCAGAUAUGCAGAUGACACAACCUUGAUGGCAGAAAGUGAGAGGGAAUUAAGGAACCUUUUAUUGAGGGUGAAAGAGGAGAGCGCAAAAUAUGGUCUGAAGCUCAACAUCAAAACCCCCCAAAAAACUAAGAUCAUGGCCACUGGUCCCAUUACCUCCUGACAAAUAGAAGGGGAAGAAAUGGAGGCAGUGAGAGAUUUUACUUUUGUGGGUUCCAUGAUCACUGCAGAUGGUGACAGCAGUCACGAAAUUAAAAGACACCUGAUUCUUGGGAGAAAAGCAAUGACAAACCUAGACAGCAUCUUAAAAAGCAGAGACAUCACCCUGCUGACAAAGGUCUGUUUAGUUAAAGCUAUGGUUUUCCCAGUAGUGAUGUAUGGAAGUGAGAGCUGGACCAUAAAGAAGAUUGAUCGCCGAAGAAUUGAUGCUUUUGAAUUGUGGUGCUGGAGGAGACUCUUGAGAGUCCCAUGGACUGUAAGAAGAUCAAACCUCUCCAUUCUUAAGGAAAUCAGUCUUGAGUGCUCACUGGAAGGACAGAUCCUGAAACUGAGGCUCCAAUACUUUGGCCACCUCAUGAGAAGAGAAGACUCCCUGGAAAAGUCCCUGAUGUUGAGAAAGACUGAGGGCACAAGGAGAAAGGGACAACAGAGGACGAGAUGGUUGGACAGUAUUCUUGAAGCUACUAACACGAGUGUGACUAAACAGCGGGAGGCAGUGGAAGACAGGAGUGCCUGGUGUGCACUGGUCCAUGGGGUCACGAAGAGUCGGACACGACUAAACGACUAAACAACAACAACAACAUUCAACAACAACAACAACAACAACAACAACAACAAAAACAAGAUAUUGACACUUCUCCCAUUUGAGUGGGUUGCCCCAGCCACUUUGGGCAGCUUCAAACAUAUAUAAAAACAAGAGACAAGAUGGCGACGGAGAUAGCAGCAUAGUCAGGUUCGCCUGCCUUCAAUUAAGAUUUUAAGUAGUUUUUUUAGCCUUCCUGGACUCUAAUUUUAUAGUUUUAAUGAUUUAUUGGCUGACUUAUCACCUCACCACUGCCCCUGUUUUUCUUAGCUAACGUUUUAUUGUUUUACUGUUUUACUGGCGACGUUGAUAAACUGCUGGUUCUCUAAACGCCUCGCUGAAGAGAGGGGCAACAAAACACCUCUCCAAGCGCAACUAUAAUAGAGGGAGAGGAAGAGAGAGGAAGAGAGAGUACUGAGCUCUAUUUACACUUUGGAAUUCCACGCAGCUGGCGGGGUACAGCGGGGGCAGUAAAUUAAUGUUAACAUCACCGGAGGGCUUUCAACGCCGUCGGGGAGUAUCACUACAUAGUCUCUUCGGCAAGUAAGAUGGCGGUUCAAGCCAGAUUGGAUUUCAUCGCUCUCCUCCCCUUAACGUUUCAUCUGCCACGGUCGUUGUAAGUAAUGCCGCUGUAAAAAUCUAUUUUAUCUAUCCCCCUCUAUCUCUGACCGCUAGAUUGUGAACUGUCAGAAAGUCUGGCACGCAGUGGACCACAGCCACUUCUAAUUAAUUAACUAGACGUGGAGCUUCUGGGGAGAGCGUUAUUUAACGAGAGGAGUGCUAAUUCCAGCUUGUCUAACUGGGACUAAGCGGUGCUAUCUUCACAUCCACAUAUCCCACAUAGCUCCAUAUACUCUACGGAGAUGGUGCUCACCAGACAGAAAUGUAAAGUUCUGGGGAUCUCCCCAACGCAGAGGGUUGAAUCACCAUCAGUAACCUCGCAGACGAAAAUUUCGCAUUAUUUUAAGCCUAAAACAAAAACGCCCAUAGGCUCCAAGUCCCCACUUCUCCUCGAUUGGUCUAUUGACCGAACAUGGUAUGGGAAGGAACCUGAUAUUGAUGAGGAGAGAGAGGGGAUCAGUCUGGCAAUGGAGAUGGCUCAGAUAGUCUCCCAAUCUAGUGCUACCGACACUCCCGUAGAACAUGAUCAAGAACGAAAUUUGAAACGCCUGGAAGUCACACUAGAUGGAUCAGUCAAUGCAGCCAGCCCCAGCGAAAAGGCUAGGAUGGAAUCCUCAAGUGCUACGAGAACAGAGGAAAAUCCAAGUCAGCUAAAAGGAGCCUGCUGGGACACAGAUAGCAAUACCUGCAUCCUGAUUGGGCUUUUCAAUGAAAUGAUGAAAGAAUGCCAAAUGCACAUAAGUAAAGAAUUAGGACCAAUCAGGAACUUUCUUACGGAAUGUGUGGGUUUGCUAGUAAGCCUGACAGAGCUCAUCAGGAAGGGAGCAAUCUCACCCCCCCCCACUCCAGCGGCUGAAAUUCCAACAGAGCCCAGUAUCUCAGAGAAGGUCCCAGAGAGAGCCACUCCCAUGUCUACCAACAGUUGAGUCACACACUCCUCAUCUAAAAAGAAGCAUCGCCACCAAAGAAUACACCCACUUCACAAGAAGAAGUCUAAAAACAUAAAAGUGGGAAGGCGGACUAAGAGUCAUACACGAACUAAGAAAUUGAAUUUUUCUAAGUUAUUCAAGCUCCUGGAGAAUCCUGCAAUAAAGGAAUCAAAUACAAAGAAUACUAAACCCGUGACCCCAAAACAGAGCAUUAUCCAGCAACCCAAAGUGACGUGCAUCACAAUCCCCUAGCCCUCAACCAACGAAAGAUCGGAACGAACAAAUAGAUAAAGACUGGCAAACCUCCUCUGCUACUGUGGUGACUAACAUCCCCAUUCACAACAAGAUAACUCAGAACAAUCAAACGCUGAUCCUCAACAGAAGCAGAUUGGUUAUUUGCCCUAUGUACAACCGUACAGAAUUACAUUCACUGGUCCAACAAAGAACGUAUAUAUUUUAAAAAAUUGACUUAGUACUCAGAGGCCUCCUAUUACAAGGUAACGUUAUCAAUGUAGAUUUUCUCCCAAAUGACAAUAAGUAUAAUCGAGUGAUGCUGACAUUUAAAGAUGACGCGACCGCAAAUCAAAUAUUAAUUAAUAAGGAAAAGCUGCAUAGGGUGGGCCUGACAGUGACUCGCCUAUUCGAAGUGCCCGGCCCCCCCUCGCACCUCAUCAAAUUAAAUAAGAAAGACAUCUAUUCAAAGGUGGUGGAAAACAAUAAAGCUGAAUAUCAGAAUAACCACCAGUCGCCUCACGAACUGGGCACCCCCACACACAACUUCUCCUUUGAAGAAAAUACCUUAAUUAGUCAAUUCUGGACAUUCCCACCUUUAAUACAAGCUGAAAUCCUAGAAAGAUUAGAAACGCUAAGAAACAAGCUGGCUGGGAAAGACUUACAUAAGGAAACUAAGGUGGACGUCCAAAGAAAGAGCAAGAGCCCUUCCAAAAUGAUCAUCUCACAAGAACUCGAUUCAGUGGCUCUUCGACCACGUAACCUUCAGAUAAAGGCAGAGAUUAAUCUACCUGCAAUCAAGAAAGUACAACUUACAAAGGAGAAUAAUGCAUCACUCCCUAUAAGGAAAAACAUGCCCAAGGAAACCUCACCAGGCUUUUGGUCCAAAAUGAGAUACUUAGAUGAAACGGAAUUAGGCGACAACCAGGUAGAAUACCCCCAGGAGGAGGCCUUGUAUAGCAAAGGCCCAGUGUCUACCAAUGUGAGUACUCUACAUUUACCAUCUGACACCAUAGAACACCUGGGCAGCUCUCCAUGUAAGGAUGAUAGACGGCUGCCACGCAGAAUGGUAAACUCCAACAGUACCUUGGAAGAUAAUUGACAAGGAAUGGAUUUUGGUAAAGCCAACCUUAGCUUUUUAUCAUGGAAUAUCACAGGAUGGCAAAAAAAGGCAGCUGACCCAUCCUUUGUUAAAUUUAUCCAAGGCUACGACAUAGUAUUUUUACAGGAGACAUGGCUCACAGGAGACCUAGAAGUUAACGGCUUUUCCUCAAUGUCCCUCACAGGUUCCCCAAGUACUAAAGGGGGGAGAGUCAAGGGUGGCCUAGGCAUUUUAAUAUCUACAAGGUUGAGGGCGUCCUUAGUAAAGCUAGAGACACUGAAACACCUGGCUAUGGCCUUACUAGUGAAAAGUAGAUUCUUCACCCUGCUACUGAUUAAUGUAUAUCUUCCCCCCCAAAGAGGCAAGCAGCUGAUUAAAAACACCUGGCAUGGGCUGGAAACAUACAUUGAUGGUUUGAUGACUCAAACCAUCUUCAGUGCUAGUGGCUGGUGAUCUUAAUGCCGGAAUUGGCCAGUCUGACGAAGCACUAUAUGCACUAUAUGCACACUUCCACGACUCGCCACCCAUCGUGGAAGAAAACCACCUUAUACCCACCAGACUCUCAAAAGACAAGGGAUGUAAUUAUGCAGGUCUGUGCCUAUUGCGUCUUUCUAACAAGCUGGACCUGGUCAUACUAAAUGGGCGCAAGAAUGGGGAGACCUGUGGGAAUUUACUUUUAUAUCAAAUGCAGGAGCUUCCACUAUCGACUAUGUUAUGGUAUCAUUUAAUCUCCUAAAUAGAGCCCUUGAGUGCAAAGUGGAGGAGAGGGUUGAUAGUGAUCAUUUACCGCUCUGCCUCCUCCUGGAUGCAAGAAAAGACUUAUUUUGCAACGAUAAACUUGAAGCCCCCAGGUCCUCCAAUAUGGAGUUGAGAUACUCACGUAUUAGAUGGUCCGAAAAGCUGAAUGCCGAAACAUCUGAAAGGCUAUACUCGGACGCAUUCCUCGUGAGAAGAGAUAAUCUCUUAAAGCCACCAUGUUCUGAAUCUAGAAUAAUCUUGUUCCAGGAUCUGAUCUCACUUUUGCAACCCCACCUGAUUCAAAAAAAGACAUUGUUGGGUGUCGAUUCUCCCCUCAGGCGCGAGACAAGAGGGGGUGUUGGGUGUAGUGAAGGGUUAACCUUCUGUGUCUCGAGGCUGAGAGGAGGCGCUUACAAGGGAAGUAAGCCAGGACAUGACGAAAGCAGCUUGGAAUGCUAUGAGCUGAGUGAAAAGUGAAAGCAGCUUUGCUACGCAGCUGCAAACUGAGAGAGAAGGACGCAGAGAAAAAUGCAGCUUGAAUCAGAUGGAAUUUCUUGAUUGUAAAUAUGCUACUUUUGAGCAAAUAAAGUGAUAUUAGGAUAGAAGAAACGUGUGGGACUUCUUUUACUGCCCUUUCAACACGGAUGCUGUGCAAUUCUGCUAAUUGCUUUACGACCUGCAGAGGCACGCAGGGGAAGCAUGCCGGACGCCGAACAAUAAAGCAAUAAAUCUACCUAACAGACAUCGCGCCAACCUAUAUUCCCCAACAAAUCCAAACCCUGGUUUGAUCAGGAAUGUAUUGCUACAAAGCGUUCUUUGCUGGAUAAGUACAGGAAUUACAAAUCAGUGAACUUACCCUUGCUUCCCGCGGAAUGGUUCAAAGCCAAACGUAAAUAUAAAGAUCUGAUUAAAAAGAAAAAGCUUCAGGCCCAAAGGGGGGAGUGGCAACGUUUAUUAGAGGCCUCUCGAAGGAAAGACUCAGCCACCUUUUGGAAAAUAGUCGCGAAAAGUUGGCAAGACUUCCCGAUUGAAAUUGAUUAUACUAUACCAGUUGGGAUUUGGGAGGCUUACUUUCUAUCUUUAUAUACAUCAAAUCAACAUCUGCAGGCCCUGCCCCCAGCUCCGAGUGAUAUUGGCGCCGAAUGGCCCCCAGUAGCAACUGAAGAGAUCUAUAGGUUCAUCCAAUCCCUUAAACCUGGAAAAGCACCCGGCGUAGACAACAUUACACUGGAACUCCUUAAGGCUAAUGUUGAAUGGUGGGCCCCUGUGCUAGCUGCCCUAUUUACCAGCAUAGACCAAUCGGCCACUAUCCCUGAGGACUGGGGAUUAGCAAUCAUCAUCCCUUUAUUCAAGAAAGGGAGCCGAUCAGAUCCGGCUAAUUACAGGCCAAUUAGCCUCCUAAGUAUCAUUAGCAAAUUGUACGCUGCCCACCUAUGCGGCAAAUUAGUGGACUGGUUGGAAAAAGACCACAUUCUUUCAGAAGCACAGGCUGGUUUUAGGGCAAAUCGGUCAACCUUAGACCAGGGCCUUGUUCUCCAACAUCUUGCGGACAAAUAUACAUCAAGAAAAGGAGGUUCCCUAUACGUGGCCUUUAUAGAUUUCAAAUCUGCUUUUGAUUUAAUACCGAGGGACAGGCUUUGGGGAAAGCUAAGCGCCGCAAAUAUAAACAAACGCCUACUGUAUCUCAUCCACAGUCUAUAUGAAAAUACACGGAUCCGGGUAAGGUGUGACCGACAGGGCCACCUAUCCAAGGAAAUCCAAAUCCAUCAGGGGUUAGGCAAGGGUGUGUCCUUGCGCCUACUUUAUUUAACUUCUAUAUCAACUCGCUAGUAGGAAAUAUGGAGAAAGAAAAUGCCCAUCCCCCCAAAUUGGCUGGUACGCCCCUCCCGGUCCUUUUAUAUGCAGAUGACACAGUUUUAAUUUCUUUUUCUUGUGUUGGAUUAAGAAAACUUUUGAGAUCUUUCACCAAAUACUGCAGCACCAAACAAUUAACAAUUAACUACAACAAAUCCAAAGUCAUGGUGUUCUCUAAAAAAAGGAGGAGGCACAAAUGGAGAAUAGACAAUCGCUUAAUAGAACAGGUAGCAACCUUUAAAUACCUGGGUGUAACCUUCCAGGAAAGGGGCUCCUGGCGCUUUCAGAUUAAUAAUACUAUUGCAAAUACAGAAAGAUCUACCAAAGCGUUAAUAAGAUUCUUCUAUGGGAAAGGAGGCCAAUACAUACUGGCAGCCUCCCAGGUCUUUGCUGCCAAAAUAUUAUCACAAUUGUUAUAUGGAUCCCAGAUCUGCAGCUUUAAAAACCUUACUCUCUUAGAGGCAUUUCAAACUAAGUUUUUCCGCUGCCUGCUGGGGAUCCCCUCUUGCGUAUCCAACAUAGCGGUCCGUUUGGAGGUUGGGCAAAUUCCUAUCAGUACUCGGAUAUGGAUAUUGAAGAUCCAUUAUUGGCUAAAGCUUAUUUUCUUCCCGGUUGGGCUGGCACCUUUAACCUUAUUGGAUACCUACCAAUCCAAAUGGAAAGCUACACUGCUGGAAAAGCUUAAAGGCUUGGGGAUCCCACAACAGACCCUGAUAGCGACAGGCUUCGAGAAAGCUAGGACUACAAUUCGCCAGCGUAUCUGGGACGUAGAAUUACAAUGCCACAUGAGCGAAAUGAUCAAACAUCCUGCAAUAAGGGACCAUGGGAGAGGUUUCUCUCCAGCUAACUAUCUGUCAGGUCUUCAGGUACCCAAAUACAGACGGUCUUUUACCCUCGCCAGAUUCAACGUUCUCCCUUCUGCCUUACUUCAGGGCAGAUUUGAGGGUAAACCAUACACAGCACGGGUCUGCCCCUGUGGCUCGUUGGAAGUUGAAACUGCUUCACAUGUACUAUUACGUUGUCGUCUUUAUGAGGAUAUACGUUUGACUUUUAUUACACCUGUUUUGCAAAAGUCCAGGAAAGAAUCGGAACACCACAGUUUAAAACUACUGCUAGAGGACAAGAAUCCCAAGACUACAUUAAAUGUAGCUAAAUUCUGUGCGUCUGCAAUUAAUCGCAGGAAGCAAGUGGUAUCCCAUAAUGACCAAACCCCCAAAUGUUAAUUACAGGGGGCACGCUAAUAAUUAAUUAAAAUUUUUUAUAUUUAAAUGCUUGUUAUACUCAUAUUGUCCUCUGUAUUUUUGAUUUUUUUUUUUAAUUUUUUUUUAUGAUCUGUGAUAUUGUGUGUGUUGACGCUGGUCUGUGACCGUAUUAAUAAAUUCAUUCAUUCAUAUAUAAAAACAUAAUAAAACAUUAAAAAAACCUUUCCUAUGCAGGCCUGCCUUCACAUAACUUCGGCUGGAUCUAGACACAUCCUGCUUGGCAGGGGGUUGGACUCGAUGGCCCUUGUGGUCUCUUCCAACUCUAUGAUUCUAUGAUUCUAAGCGAUUUAGUUAAACGUGUGGCAAACUCAUACAGGGAAAUCCAGUAGGGAAAGAUGGGACUCCACAGCACCAUCUGGUGUCACAAUGUUAUACUACAUAUACAACACAUAUAAAACGUGUUUUCUUUACCAAUUUAGUCCAUAAUACUUUCCAACAUUUAAUAAUGAAAAUAGAGACAUCUUACCAUACUCUCCAGCAUUUCUCCAUCCUAAGGAACAUCCCUAUUUUAAGGAAGAGCAGGACAUUUCAGGAUCAAAUCGGAAACCAGGAUGGCUUCUGUAAAUCCGGGACUGUCCCUGGAAAAUAGACACCUGGAAAAUCUGCUCUCUGUCUCUCCAUUGUCUCUCAUUGCAGCUGAGUAAUUUCCAAGUAGAUAUGGCUUUUGGUUUUCCAGUCUGUUGCUUCACAGGGUCUGCUCAAGGGCCCUUUUGGCUUCAAUUGGGACAAUGUUUAUUCAUUUGUCUUUAAGACUAACAUGUCAAAGAAGAGCAAACAAUGUAUAUCUUUUUGCUCAGUUCUUUCUUUGCAUGGAACCUAGAGGGAAAAUGGCAUUUGUUUCUUUCAUGUACUCCAGGAAUUGGAGGUGAUACUGGAGUGAGACUCAAUCUGUCAGAAAAUUGAAGAUCCAAGAUGGUUACAACCUUCCAAAAGAUGAUAAAGGGCUUUAAAAGUGAAAACAAUAAUAAGACUACAGCGUGCUACUGUCUGUUUUCAUUUCUGACACAAUCAGCAGCACAAGUAGGAAGAACUGUUAUGUCAGCUUCUGUUUCUGUUACAAUCUUUCCCUUAAAAUCAAAUAUCAACUUUUGUUUUGUUUUGUAUACACUACAUGAAAUACAGCACUUUGCCUGAAUCUUGUGACCUUUUCAAAAACCCAACUUUUGAUCUUACUGGCCAGCCUGCUCUUGUCCUGCAGGAAGGUGGGUCCCUCCCUUCAGGCAUAUUAAUGGCAGCAUUCACAAGGCAUUGCCUGGAGAUGCACAGGUGCAGAAGGAAGUAAAACAUCAUCACAGAAUUCUCACUUCCUGUUAAUUUGUGAUUAUUCACAUCAUUCACAUGUGAUUAUACCCACCCCCCACAAAAUGUGUAGGUAGUCACUCACCAGUUACAGCUUCACCACCAGUUCUGAACACUCAUGGCAGCUCAUGCAGGCAGUCUGCAGGAACCAACACUUCUGUGAGCCACAUUGAGGCAGCAUCCAUAUGGUUUGUUCUCUAUGCCAUUGCUGUAAUCUGUAGUUUUGUUGAAAAUAUGGGAUGGAAUUCAACACCACUCUCUCCCAAUCAUUCCAUCCACUCAGUUGGGGGGGGGGCAUAGGGGGAAAGAUCCAUUGCACAAGCGGAAGUCCUUAUACAUAGCUUUCUUGGAUGGAACUGGUUAAGAAAAUCCCAGCAAUGGUUCUUCUGGAUUGUACAGAAUAUUCCUGUGCCUGUAACACACAUCACUCAUAAAUCCCCACUGGAGAACUUCUCCACACACUCCCAUUCUUUUUAUUUCUUUUUAGAGCAAAAACACAAACAAAGCAGAAUAAAAAGGGGGGGGGGAAGAUAAAAAAAGAAAUACGUAAAAAGGACUUCCAGCUAUCCAGCUAUCCAGCUAUCCAGCUAUCCAGCUAUCCAGCUAUCCAGCUACAAGAGUUCUUCAACAUAGUCAAAUGUUCAAUCCAGAGCAGUAUCCUCCAGGUGUUCCUCCAUCUACUAGGUGAUGCUUCUUCAGCCUUCAGUCUCAAGUUCAUUUCUUUUUCUUUUGCAACAAGAAACCCAAAAGAGGUUCUCUGCUUAUUAUUAUUAUGCAUAAAAGUCAACAACAGUCUUUGGCCAGUCCAACACCACAACUUUACCUCCAAUAUUAAGAAACAUUUGGUCCUUGUUUUUUAUUCCCUCAAGAGUUUAUUUGCUGUGGUUAUGUACUAAGACAAUGAUCCAACUAAAUGUCGGGAAUAACUUUCUGACAGUAACAGCUGUUCGACAGUGGAACUGCCUCCUUUAGGAGGUAGUGGACACUCCUUCAUUAGAGUCCCAGUCUCAGUCAGUUUUAUUGCACAUAGCCAAAGGCUGCCGCAAUGUACACAGAAUUAUUUGACAAUUAAAAGAUAAUAUACUGAAUUGGUUAAAAAAGACUUAAAACAUUCAUAUUAUUAAAACAUUACGUACGCUAAACAAAGCUAUAAAAGUACCCCAAUGUACAAAUAAAAACAUUAAACAAUAAAAUUCAUAAGCUAAAAUCAUCACAUGGUCACUAAUGUUAAAAACAAUAUCAAUUAAUACAGUGUGCAAUUUAUACUCAGAGUUUGGUGACAAAGAUAGAGCAUAGCCUGAGGUAGAUAGAUAGGAUCAAAUAAAUUCAUCUCCUUUACAGUUAAUGGCUACCUUGGCUAUAUAAUUUGCUCUAAUUUUCCUAGCAGCAGUUGCAAAAAGUGCUACCCGCCAGGUCACAUACUUAUCUGUGUCUGCAAGGAGAUAUAACAUCAUAUCAAGGGGGUUCUGGCCAGGGGACCCUGUCAUUAUAGGUACCAAAAAUCUUUUCUUGCAUCAUUAUAUAACGGACAGUGCAAGAUAUAAUGCAUAAGGUCCUCUACUUCAGAACAUCCCCUAAUGCAAACACGUUCGUUUUUUGGUAUGCCUCUAUGUCUCCCAUCUCUAUAAGCAGAGCUUAUUGUAUUUAGUCGUAGCUCUGUAAAAGCUUUUCGAAGCUGUGCAAAAGUCAGUUCAUUAAAAUAAGAUAUGUGUUCAUUGACCUCUGUAAGUUUAAAAUACAAUGGGGCGCAUGUAGAUGUGCACAUAGAGUUUAGAUCGUUUUUAGUUGCCACUGCCCUUAUGGUUCGUUUAAAAAUAUUUUUCUGUGAAUAUAAGGGAGUUCUUUAAUCUCAGUCACUGAGAGAUCAUAUUUGCCCAUCAGUUGGGCAGCAUGAUGUACCCAGUUUUUAAGGGGUAAUCCAUUUGAGAGCUCAAUCAGGCAUUUUUUUGGUAGCCUAGUGAUGUCCAUCUGUUGAACUCUAAACCAGUAACAGAGAAUUCUUUUAUCUAUUUGGCUCUCUAUGCUCAACAUGCGAGUUUCCAACCUGACCAUGGCAGAUUGCACGUCUUUGGGUAAACCUAAAAGAACUCUUAAAAAAUAAUUCUGUGGGGGUUCCAGACCGGAGACCUUUGAGGUACCCCAAACCUCUGCACCAUAUAAAAUCUGGGCCAUUGUUUUUGCUUUAUACACAGAUAGAGCUGGGUUGGCCAGAUUUCCACCUUUACAUGCAGCGAAUUUCAGAAUGGCUUUUGCUGAUUUAAAGGCUUGCAAUUUAAUAUUGGAUAGCUGUGUAUUCCAAGAUGCCGUUUCUGAAUAAAUCAAUCCCAGAUAUUUAAACGUAUUUACUUGGUUUAUGAUGUGUUCAUCCAGGUGCCAAACAUGCUUUUAGAACGCUUCCCAAAUACAAUGACCUGCGUCUUAUCAUAGUUUAUAGAUAAAGCAUUCCUCAUGCAAUAUGAACUUAAUUUUGCAAGCAGCCGUCUCAGGCCCACCUGGGUUCUAGAUACAAGUACUAGGUCAUCAGCAUACAUUAAAACUGAGAGUUUUUGGUCGAGAAUUGUGACAGGGGCAAACUGUAGGCCCUCCAGUUCUUUAACCAUGUCAUUAAUAUAAAAAUUGAACAGGGAAGGUGCCAAAAUGCAUCCCUGUUUGACUCCAGUAGUGGUCUUAAUUCUAGUGGUGAGAUGGCCAGCCAGAUCCACCUUUACUUGUAUUGAUGUGUCAGUAUAUAAUGUUUUGAUGAGAAAUAAUAGACGGAGGUCUAUAUUUGUCUUUUCCAAUUUUUGCCACAAUGCGUGUCUUGGGACCGUAUCAAAAGCUGACUUUAGAUCGAUAAAAGCAACAUAUAAUUUUUGCUUCAAAUUAUGGAUGUAUUUACAUAGCAGAAAGUUCAGCACAAAGCACUGGUCCAAUGUGGAUUUCCCUCUUUGGAAACCUGCCUGGACUUCAGAUAUCACCUUAUUUGUAUCUACCCAUUCUUCUAGUCUCCCAAGAAGGAGCCUGGCAUAUAGUUUGGAGGCUACAUCUAACAAACUAUAAUUGGCAGGGUUUUUCUUAUCGCCCUUUUUAUAUAUUGGGGCAAUUACACUCAACUUCCACCCUUCAGGUAUACGACCUGAGCUGUUAAUGUAUGAAAACAAUUUUGCAACUUUAAACAGUUAUACACGCAGGAGACUCAGAAAGAAAUAGACAUUGAUCGGUUUUUGAAAACAAAUGGAUUACAAAAAGUCUCUCAAGAGAGUAAAUCAAUACUAAACUCUACAAUAUCUGAUCAAGAGGUGGAAGGAGCCAUUCAGGACAUGAAAUUGGGCAAAUCUCCAGGGCCAGAUGGUCUGACUGCAAAGUAUUAUAAAUCUUUGAAAGAAUGGUUAAUGCAGCCUCUGAAAGAAGUUUGCAAUGAAAUACUACGGGGAGGAAAGGCACCCGAGUCGUGGAAAGAAGCUUAUAUUACACUCAUACCGAAAACAGAAGUGGAAAAGACACAGCUGAAGAACUACCGCCCCAUAUCCCUACUUAAUGUGGAUUACAAAAUUUUUGCAGAAAUUAUGGCUAAAAGACUAAAAAAUGUAUUGGUGAAAGAAAUUCAUAAGGACCAAGCGGGCUUUCUCCCGGGGAGGCAUUUGUCAGAUAAUACGAGGAAUAUUAUUAACAUUUUAGAAAAACUACAAGUUAACAUUAAUACUAAAGCAGUUCUAAUAUUUGUGGAUGCGGAGAAAGCCUUUGAUAAUAUCUCUUGGAGUUUUAUGAAGAAAAAUUUGCAGGGGAUGGGGGUAGGUCAAAGUUUUGAAAACGGUAUAGGUGCAAUUUAUUCGGAACAAAAAGCUAAGUUGAUUGUAAAUAAUGUAGUUACAGAAGAGUUUAAGAUAGAGAAAGGAACAAGACAGGGUUGCCCAAUCUCCCCAUUGCUUUUUAUAUCGGUCCUGGAGGUUCUGCUCAACAUGAUCAGGAAAGACCAAUUGGUUAAAGGUAUACAACUCGGAGCUAAACAGUAUAAAUUGAAAGCUUUUGCUGAUGAUCUGGUUUUGACACUACAGGAGCCAGAAUCCAGUACAAAAAGAGUAUUGCAAUUAAUCCAAGAAUUUGGUCAAGUAGCAGGUUUUAAAUUGAAUAAGAUGAAAACUAAGGUGUUAGAGAAAAAUCUUACAGAGAUUGAGAAAGAGAGGUUUCAGAAGGAGACAGGAUUAACAUUAGUUAAGAAAGUGAAAUAUCUAGGGGUUCACAUGACUGCUAAAAAUGUGAAUUUAUUUAAAGACAAUUAUGAAAAAUGUUGGAUAGAAGUAAAGAAGGACCUGGAAAUAUGGUCAAAAUUGAAGUUAUCAUUGCUGGGCCGAAUUGCUGCGAUAAAAAUGAAUGUAUUGCCUAGAAUUUUGUUUUUGUUUCAAACAUUGCAGAUUUUGGACAAGAUGGACUGUUUCAAGAAAUGGCAGAGAGAUAUUUCGAGAUUCGUCUGGCAGGGCAAGAAGCCAAGAAUAAAAUUUAAGAUUUUAACUGAUGCGAAAGAAAGAGGUGGAUUUGCCCUGCCAGACCUUAAACUUUAUUACGAAUCAGCCGCAUUUUGCUGGCUGAAAGAUUGGCUGCUUCUUGAAAACACGGACAUUUUGGAUUUAGAAGGUUCUGAUAAUGUUUUUGGAUGGCAUGCAUAUUUAUGGUAUGACAAGGUUAAAGCACAUAAGGCCUUUAAGAACCAUAUUGUCAGGAAAGCACUGUUUAAUGUCUGGGUGAGAUACAAGGAUUUGUUAGAAAGUAAAACACCAAGGUGGUUGUCACCAAUGGAGGCUAAGGCUCUGAAAAAAACUAAUAUGGAGACAAACUGGCCAAAAUAUUGUGAAAUUCUAGAACAAGAUGGAGAUAAACUAAAGCUGCAGAGUUUUGAUAAACUAAAAACUAAAGUUCGAGACUGGCUUCAUUACUAUCAAAUAAGGGAGGCUUUUAAUCUAGAUAAAAAGAUUGGUUUCCAGGAGGAAAAAUCAAAAUUAGAAACAGAAUUGUUAGACCCUAAAACUAAGAAUUUGUCAAGAAUGUAUAAUUUGCUGCUGAAAUGGAACACACAGGAUGAAACGGUUAAAUCUGUUAUGAUUAAAUGGGCACAAGAUUUUGGACAUAACAUUAUGUUUGCUGACUGGGAACAGUUAUGGACCACAGGUUUGAAACUUACGGCAUGUAAUGCCUUAAGAGAAAAUAUAAUGAAAAUGAUGUAUAGGUGGUACUUAACCCCAGUCAAGCUAGCAAAAAUCUAUCACUUGCCAGAUAGUAAAUGUUGGAAAUGUAAAGAAACUGAAGGUACGUUUUUUCACCUUUGGUGGACAUGCCCAAGGAUUAAGGCUUUCUGGGAAAUGAUUUAUAAUGAAUUGAAAAAGGUAUUUAAAUAUACCUUUUUGAAGAAACCAGAGGCCUUUCUCCUGGGCAUGGUCGGCCAAUUGGUGCGAAGGGAGGAUAGAACUUUUUUUAUGUAUGCUACAGCAGCAGCAAGAAUACUCAUUGGGAAGUACUGGAAGACACAAGAAUUGCCUACCCGAGAAGAAUGGCAGAUGAAAGUGAUGGACUACAUGGAACUGGCUGAGAUGACUGGCAGAAUUCGAGACCAGGGAGAAGGGUCGAUGGAAGAAGACUGGAAAAAAUUCAAAAUAUAUCUUCAAAAAUACUGCAAUAUAAAAGAAUGUUAGAAAGAGGUUGGAAAAAGAAUAUUAGGUCGUUUGGGCAGAUAUGAUAUAAUGGACUAAGUAAAAAUGAGGUGCGGAAAUCGAUGAAAUAGAGGAGGUUUAAUUACAUUAUUUUAAUUUUAAAAUACGUAAAUGAAAAGAAGGUUAGAAGGAUUUGCUGGAAAUACGAUCUGAACUAGAAUACAAAAUUGGGAGGUGAGAGGAGGUCAUGGAAAUAAGUAAAGGGAAAAGGCUAAGUAAAGGUUUAAUCUGUUUUUUGUCUUAUUUUAACUUAAUGUAUUUUUAUAUUUUUUGUUAAGUCUUCUUUUAUAUUCUAUUUUAUUGUUCUUUUUUAUUUGUUCAUUCUAUGUUUUGUUACGGCUAAAGUUUUCUUUGUAUUUUGUAUGGUUUUUUUUCUUCUUUGUAAUCUUAAAUUUGGAAUAAAUAUCAUUUUUUUUUAAAAAAAAGAAAACAAUUUUGCAAAUAUGGGUGACCAGAAAUCAGGUCUUAUCUUAUAGAUCUCCAUUGGGAUCAUGUCUUCUCCUGGAGCUUUAUUAGCUAGUUGGUUUGCGAUUAGCCUCUUAAUCUGAUUGGGCGUGACGUCUGGCCAUUCUGGCAGUUCUGAUAACUGAGUAUAGUAAACUUGUGGGGGUAGGUCAGGACAGGGGCCAUAUAUUUCUGUAAAAUAUGUCACCCAAUCCUUUCCUUGGACAGAUGCUUCUAACGAGUAGCCCAGCCCAUUGGUGCCUUGGGCAACCAGAUGCCAAAAUUUCUGUGAGUCCUUCUGAAGUGCUGCAUCUCCCAAUUCUUUCCACUGUUGUUCAUAAUAUAUUUGUUUCUUACUUUUAAGUAAUAAUUUAUAGUUGUUUCGUAACUGGGCUACCUCAGCUUGUAGGGCAAGAUUGUGCUUAUCCUGUUUUAACUUCAAUUUUCUAAGUACCCUAGCUAGGCAUUUUUUGCUAUUCUGACAUUCCUUAUCAAACCAAGUCUGUCUCUUAAACUUUUUGUUUUUUAUCACACUAGCUGUGGUCAUCAGUGGGCGCAUUCGGUUGAUUAUGUUCUCAUAAAGUCCAAUUACGUUUCCUGUUUCUAACAACAUUUCCCCCUUUAAUAAAGCAAAUUCAUGGGAAUCCAGGAUCUGAAUCAUUUUUUCUUGGACCUGUGCAUUCCAUUUUAACCUUCUAUUUCCAAGUAUCAGAUAUUCUGUUUCAUCCAAUAAUUUAGGAAAGGCAGGAGAAAAGAAUAAUGUCAGAGAUAAGUGGAAAGUGGUCACUUUCAGCUCUGGGAAUUAUCCUGAAGGUAUCUCGGUUAACUGGCACAUUAUUAGAUGUUAGGAUAUAAUCUAUGGUGCUAGUAAAUCCUCUGGGGGAGAUAAAAGUAAAAUAACCCUCUUGAUCCCCUUGACCAGUGCCCAUUGCAUAACAAAAGGUUAUGCUUUAUUAUAAGUUCACAAAGAUGUUUCCCAGCGCGAUUAGAGGUGGUGUCCAUUGCUGCCCUCUGACAGAUUUCAGGUUCGUCCUCCAAGUUUAGACCAGAUAAUAUUGUAUUUUGUGGGGAAACAAGGCCGAUCCGGGCAUUGAAGUCACCUCCCAAGAUAAACCGAGGGUUAGGUGACAGAGAGUCUAUACUUUCGAGUAGUUGGUCAAGUUUAUCCCAAUAUGAUCUCAGUUCCCCACAAGACUUUACUGGAGGUAUAUACACACAUAUGCAAUAAGUAUUUCUCAGGAGACUAUCAGAAAGGGACAACACUAAAAAAUUAGGGGUGGUCAACAAGGGACACUGUUGAAUUGAUGCAUUAAGAGAGGUUGACACCAGCACCGCCAGCCCCCCACUAGGCCUUCCAUACUUUACAGUUUUAAGAGCUGGUUGAGUGUAACUUGUAAAACCCUGUAAUUCAACCAUAGUGCCCUCUUUUGCCUAGGUUUCUUGAAGAAAGAUGAUAUCAUGUGUUUGUAGAUAAGAACAGAAAUCACUGUCUUGGAUCUUGUUUAUCCACCCUGUUACAUUCCAUGAGAGAAGUUUAAUUGUUUUACAGUGAUUUAUCUUAGUCAAUUGUUGGCCGAUGUGCUCUCGGAGUUUACCAGUUUUUGAGGCAACAGGUUAUUGCUAAUGCUAGUGGAAUAAUCCAGAUGUUCGAUUAUUUCAGUCGUCGUACAUAAAGUACUCACAUUUGUAAUCACUGGGCCUUUUCUUUGCAAAUUGUUUGCCAAUGGGGAUUUCUUGGGUGUAUUUCCUGACUCCUCCUCUUCUAAAUAUCUCAUCUUUGUCCAAUACUCCGGUGGUUCUAUAGUUAUCAUUCUGUUGUGGCCAUUGGAUCUAUUAUCAAUCUCUGCCUCCGGUUCUUUAAUCACUUUCAAUGUCUGGCUCAUAAGAUCAAGCCUCUUGAUAACUGUUUGUUGCUCUUCCUGAGGGAGAUUCCUAAAGGAGCUGAGAGAAUCCUCUUCCAAAGGAUUUACAGAGUGCUCAGAUUCCUGAAGAUGAUUGUCUAGAGGAAUCGGCUGUUCCUUUUGGCUCACCUGGUUAUUUUGAUGUUGGGCAUGAUCCUGCGGAUUCAACUCAGGCAUGUCUGUUUCCUCCUCACCUGCCAAGUUUUUGUGUGAUGUCAUUACUUCCAUUGGGGAUCCAGGCUUUGGUUUUGUGAGCCCCUCUGAAGCAGCAGUCCUCAUCUUACAUAAGGGUGCAACAAUAGAAUUGCGAAAUACCCGGGUUGGAAAAACUCCUCUGCUUGACAGUCUGAAUUUCAGCUUGUGAAUUAGUGAGGGCAGUCUAGUAGAGGAAAAAGUUAACAUAAUUUUUUGGCUUUGAUUUGUGGUACUCAAGAGUUCAGUCCUAACGAGGUCGAUCUCUGUAAGUCCAAUGCCAAGUAAGUCUGAUAAAUGUCGUUUGGAACGCUGGGCACCUUUCCAGCUAGGAGUUUGAUCUGGCCUUCCACAAAUUGUCAUGCAGAUCUUUUUUGGUUGGAAGAUUAAAUAAGAAGAGUUUGUUUUAAGAGCCUCUGCACGUUCUAUGUUGAGCUUAGGGGUCUGCUCUUGCUGUCGCCAAUUUCCUUUGGUACUAUGGUGUUCUGUUGAUGCCUGCUUGUUAUUAACUGAUAAACUGUGGACUUCUUUGGAUAACUGGGUUAUUUGAGAGGCAAUACCUCUAAUUUGCUGGAAGAUAUGCUCAACCGUUCUUGCAAUUAGAGUUAAUUGGGUGCUCUCCCUACUUGUUAUUCCUUCCUCUCUGAGGAGCACAGGAUCAGCUUGCCCCAUUGCUGGAUCCAGUUCCACGCUCUCACCUUGAAUACUCUCCCCACACUCACAAUCAUCUUCAAGAGGAGAAAACCGGUUUUUUGUUGGAACUGUAAAAGCAGAUUUGUUUAAAAAGUCCUCUAUUUUAGAUUGUUUGGGAACCGGUGAGAGAGCUACAUCCUCUGGGUCCCUGUGGCGUUUACUAGCAGGCAUAGCGUCACCGUGGGGAGUAAACAAGGAGAGGUUUCCCCAACCAAAAAAGAGAGAAAAGAAUAGAAAGUGCUCAGUUUGUUCAAUUUAAGAGCUUCUCUGUGUGGAGAUUGCCAGAAGUUUCGGGGACAAAGUAUAGAAGGGAGUUGGCGGUUAAUAGCUAGCAGCUGGUGGCCUGCCCAGGAUGCUUCACAGAACUUGCCCAGGAUGUUUCUCAUAGCAUAGACAAGAAGGUGCUGUUAGACUCUCAGUAAGUUAAAAAGUAGAGAAGUAAAAAAGGAAAAAUUACUUCCCUGGGUGGCAGUCAAUGCUAAUUACAGUCCUGUUAUCUGCAGAGCUCCGAAGCCUGCUUGCUAAGCCGUCGCCAUCUUGGACCCGCCUCCCUUCAUUAGAGGGUUUUAAUCAGAGGUUGGAUGGCCAUCUGCCAGGGCGUCUUUAGCUGAGAUUCCUGCAUUGCAGUGGGUUGGACUAGAUGACCCUUGGGGUCCCUCCCAAGUCUACAAUGAUAUGAUUCUAUGAUUUUAUAAUUAUCUCUGUCAACAGAGUCUCAACAGAGAUGACUGACCAGCCAUGAUGCCUCCCCAGAAGUUCUCCACAUGCUCACCUUCAUGAUAUAGGCCACACUGUAUGAAUUUGUUUAUUUUCCUCUUCUGUACUAAUGUCUUGCUUUCUUUUGCAUUGUGUCUGUUAGGCCAAGUUCUCACAGAGGUGAUAAGAAGAGGCCCCUUGUGAUAGAGCACAAACUUCGCUUGCACACUUCCUGGCAUCUGUAGAUGCAAGGGUCAGAGGGCAGUGGGUAGGAAAGGGCCCUUUCUGCCUGACUCCCCAUGGAGAGAACUACGGAUUUCUAUGAGCUGCAAAGAAAGUUAUUGUUCAUGCUUUUUGCUCUUUUAUGUGUAGAUGAUGGUGGUGGUGCUGAUGAUGAUUUUACCAUUUACUAAACCAAUCAGCCACCUCCAUGAAAACUAGGCUUAGAUUAUAAACCAUUCUGUUAGGAACCAAUCUAGUUGCUUUUUUCCAUUUUUUAACAUCUAGUCAAAUUUUCCUGGUAAUUACUGGGUUAUUUUCCCCAGUAUAUGUCCUUAAUUGCACUCUUGUCUUGACAAGUGGACAAUGGACUGAGCCUUUUUUUUUAUUGUGGGUAAGUCUCUUCAUUGGCGAUUGUAACAGAAAACCUGCUGAAAACCAUGUUUUCCCAUUACACAGUAAACAGUGCAGGUGUCCUCAUCUGCCUCCUCUCUCCUUUCCUCCUGUAAAUGAUAAGUGUUAUGUACUGAAGUUCUCACCCUGGGCCAGCAGGGGGAUACUGUAGAUAGUUUUCACUUAGGUCCACAUAUGCAAAUAAGGAAUUGAAAGUGACGUUCAGUGAUUGGAUAGUUACAGAAAGUUGUUACUGUUGCUUUGUAGUUGAGCUCUACAGCAGGUUGGCUGAACCCUUCAGCCCAGUUCUGUUCUGGGCUUGUGAAUAAACAAGAGCUGUUUGAAGAAUCACUGUGUUGUCUGAUAUGUUCACCCACAACUUAACUAUAAGCUUUUUGCUUUCUUGCCAGUCCUUGGCCUGACUUGUUUGUAUAGCCAGAUAGCUUAACAAGCAUCGCCUGAAUGCAUUUCCUCAACAGCAAAAACACUCUCCAGAUCUCUAAACUUCUGCUAUGGGCUUUGCACCUGGUUUAUAGACUUGCUUUGUGUUUCUUUAUUUUCAAGAUGCAAAUCCUGUAAAUCCAUGGCAGUCCACAGCCUUGUUCUAGGUCAGCUCCCCAUCAGCCAGUGGCAAGAUAAAAGGGUGCAGUCUUAGCUCCAAUGCACCGUUUUGCUAAUAUUGCACAGGUAAUAUUCAAAAGUGACAAGAAGGUUGAUCAAAUAUCUCCAGUUUAAAAAAGAACAACAAAAUCACACUGUCAGCACUGCAAAAUUCAACUUAAAGUAGCUUUCCAGUAUUGCUUCUUCUUUUGUUAAGUCAAUGGUAGUGACUUUGUUGGGCCUAUUCUGAAUUCCCACACUGCCUCUCCUCCCUCCCAGCAGUUGCAAUGGAAGAUUGUUUCUUCAUCAUACAGUUUUGGAAUAAUAAUUUUCUUGCCCCUCCAUAAUCAGAUAUGAAGCUCACUUAAACUUUUUCUUUUAUUGCAAGAAAAAUAGCCUUCUGUUAGCUCCACUGUAAUUCCUCUUUAAUAAUAAUAAUAAUAAAUUUUAUUUAUAUCCCGCCCUCCCCAGCCGAAGCCGGGCUCAGGGCGGCUAACAACAAUAAAACAGUACAAAAGUAUAGCACAAACAACACUCUAAAAUCAUUCAUUAUAAAAUUAAUUAUAUUAAAUUUUUGCCUCUUUGUUUCAUAAUUCCUUUCAGCAUUCUUUAUGUGCUUUGCCAUUUCUGCUGCAUCCCCACCACAUCCAAGCCACAGUCAAGCUAGUUUACCAGUGAGGACUCUUUCACUGAUUAUGUUUUCAAAAGAUACAAAAUUAUUUAACUAAUAGGCUGCCUCUCACUGGAAAAGGUAACUGAUAGAGUCACACAUAGGAAAAUGAUAGACCUGAGAGACUCACUAAAAAGUUAUGCAGCUAUGUUUGAUAUUCCACUAGUUCUGAUUAAAUCAUAUAUGCUAUCAUCCCUCACCCAGGUACUUCAACUACACUUGGAAAUGUCCAUUUGUGUUCCAUAUUCAGAUAGACAUUGAUUGCACCAAUGCAUACAUUUUUAAUCAAACAGUUUCUGUAUCAAAUAUGAAAAUCUACAUUCUCAGAGGCUAUUCUGUUCUUUGGGUAAUAUGCUGGGGCUUGUCAAGCAUCUAUCAACAAUGCCAUUAUGUACAAAACCAUAGUCAGUGUGACUUUGGGUUUUAAAACCCACCUCUCCAGUACCCAUUGAAAUCAAUCAGUGGAAUAAAUUGAACUCAAAAGUACUGUAACUUUGGCUGAAUCAUACCCAAAGCUUUCUCUCCAAAUUUUUUAGAAGCAAUAAAAUAUGCAAAAAAUAUACAAGGGUUUACACCCCCCCCCCAUUUUUAAAGCAACGAAGCCCAACUUCUGUCUAAUGGAGUAGUUUACAAUGUUGAACUUCAGGAGUUGAUAAGCUAAGUGAAUCCUCACACUCUGGUCUACCAUCUAACAGUGGGUGGUAUCUGACUUAUACUAAAAAAACAGCCAAUAACUAGAUGCCUGUCCCAAUGAAAUAAACUAAUGGCACAAUCCUAACAAUGUCUACUCAGAAGUCAGUCUCUUGAAUCAUUUGCUUACUCCCAGGUAUGUUAAAUUAGGAUUGCAGCCAUAAUUUGCCAGGGCUCAAAGAGGUACUUCUCGCCCUGUGAUUUAAUUUUUUUUAAAAACACACAUUUCCAUCACAAAAAUUGCUUUAAAUUCUCUUUAGUUUCAGAAGUUGCCUACGAAGUUGUCCGCAAUGCACAAGUCCAAAAUUCCUUUGGGUGUAUGGAGCCAAGAUCAUAAUCUGAGUCAGCUUAAUUUCAAUUUUUCUAGUUAAGAGGUCUGUGGACAGGGCUGCAAAUCAUGGUAUUAUAGAGAUUUAAAUAUUUCUGGAACCCAAAAUGGUGAAGUGCCUUGACACAAUAGAUUUUAAUUCAAUUGUUAGCAUUAAUGAUUUUUUAAAUAUCUUCAUUUAAAGCAGAAUGAUGCAUUUUCUCUUCUCCAGCUGCUUCAUGGGAAAAUGCCCUUCACAUUUGAGACUUUGUCAGCUGUUUAUAGGUGAAGGCUAGCUCAAUAUGGAGACUUCAGAUAAAAUAGAAUUUAAAAAAGUUCAGAAUCUAUGCUUAGUGUUCAAUUUCUAUUCUGUCCAGAGCAGCUUUAAAAUUGAAGAAAAGUGAGUAAUAGAUUUGAGAGUCAUCAGAAAUAUAAAUUAUAGCCAGACAUUUCCUAUCAGCUCUCCAUGUAGUUAAUGAUAAACAGUCAAUGGGAUGUAUGCACCUCUAGCAUUUUUAUAAUGAAUCUAUUGCUUCCAUGACAGCUUCCUGUCAAACAUUAUGCUUAGGAAUUUAUAACUCUUGGUACCAUAUUAAUAGAUGGUGCAGAUAGAUUACCAUCUUCUGCUUCAAAAGUGAAGUUUAUCAAAUUCAUUUAACCCAUCCUCUCCAAACCUGACUUACUACGGAAGUCAAAUAAUACAGCUUUUCUUAUGCUACUUUUCAAAGACAUGGGAUGACUCACAAGCGAGUCCCUUUGUGUAAUAUAUGUGCAAAAGCCUUGUAUGAAUGAGCAGUAUAUUAAGUUCUCUACAACAAAACUAUGAACUGGAGGAGUGUGAUAGCCUGGGAAUCUGAUUCAGAGGCUGAACUGGAGGAAUCCCAGCCUGCACAGGAGUCCCCGCCUCCAGGGCUGGCUGAGCUGGGGCAGGGGCUUGGAUCUGAAGGGCCCUAACCUGUGCCGGAUCCUCAGGAGCAGACACCAGCUGAAUCCGCUCUGGCUCCGGAGGUGAUUGAGGACCCAUUGCCUGCAGGUGCUCUUCUCCCAGCCCUGUCAGGGGAAGGUGAGGUUGCCUCUGGGUCCAAUAACCCUCCAGCCUCUCCUGAGCUGCAGAGGCUCAGGGCAGAGAGGCGGAGGGAACUAAGUUCUCUCAGGAGGAGUGCUCGCCUUAAGGCCAGGGGAGGUGAGUCACUUGUGGGCCGGGACCGCCCUAGGCCUCAGAGGAGAUAAAGGCCAGUCAGCCCAGUCCCAGGUUGCGGGAGCAACAUCGUUGGUUACCUGUUCCUGCCGGCACCCUGUCCUGCUUUCUGCCAGAGUUCCUGACCAUGCCUGACUCCCUACCUUCAGGGACCCCGCUUCAGCCUUGGACCACACUGCACGGUAACCCCCCGGGACCAGCACAAGGAGUCCAGGAACUAUUUGGCAGUUAAGAUGGGUCAGAAUUGUAAAUAUGAGGCCUAUUCCCCCAGAUACAAUUAGGAUUGGACUCAUAUCCUACCAGAAUACAGACAUGGCCACAAUUAGAGCUAUUUGGGCCCUUAUUUACUAAGGGGUGCAGAAGGAGAAUAAUACUACUGUGGGCUGCUAGGAAGGUCUCUCAAAGCUGUCAUGAACAUCUGCAGGAGCAUUCAGAGCUACUAGGAGCAAUGGGAAAUGACAAGCAAGUGAGCCUCAUUUCCUCAUACCUACUCACUUUCUUGCCUAGUGAUGAACCUUGCCAGACACACCUGAAUUGUGUGGUUUUGUCUCAGUUGUACAAGCGGAUUUAAGGACUCAGGGCUCCAAUUUCUCCCUCUUUGCCAUCCCAGGCAACAAACCUCCCUGUACUGCUUCAAUCCUCCAACUUUACUCUUUCUUUCAAAGGUGCCUUUCUAUAACCAUACUAGACAAAAUAAUAUUUUUACAUUCACAGAAACAUUCAGGACUGAAACAGGAUGCUGAAGCUUGCAUGUUUUCUUUACUUUGAGAAAGCUGCAGUGCACCACAGUGACUUUGUAUGCCAAGCACACACACACAAGAGAUGUGCUCUGGCUUUCAGCCACAGGCCUUCCCCAAAACAGGAUUGCAAAAUUCCAACCACUAGGGCAGGGAUGUCCAACCAGUAGAUCAUGAUCUACUGGUAGAUCCUCAGCUGAUCCUGGUAGAUCGUGGGAUCCUUAUUGUGUACAAAAUGUUACGGGGGCAAAGCUUAAAAACUGUGCAAUCCUCCUCCUAAAAAGCUCAACAACUCUGGGCAAUCCACCCACCCCACACACGCUCCUCCUCCCUCCAAUAACAAUGAGUAAAUCACUGCCAGUUUUUUUUAUACUGGGAGUAGAUUUCAGUCUCUUGGGAGUUGGACAUGCCUGCACUAGGGCAUCAAGCUACUUAAGGUCUAUUUCUGCCCCAGUUGGGAGGGUGGCUCACAAAAGCUUUUACCUAUAAAAUGUUGUCUGCUUAGCAAACUAAAUGUCUGAGAAGGGUGUUCUCUGGUUUAACAAAAGGCGAGCAGGGGCUUUGAAGUUGCUCAGUAACAGCUAAUAGCUGGGCUAAAUCUACACAUAUAUAAAAAAUGUUGUGGAAAUGCUUUAAAAAUGUUUUUAAAAAAAUAUAUGGAAUUUGCCAUUAGCUCACCAGCACCAUUUGUAUAAUGCAUUUAAAACACACUUAAAACAUUAUAUUUGCACCUGUAUAGCUGAGUCCCUGGACAGAAAACUGCUAAAUAGGACAGUCUUAUUCACAUGGUGAAAUGCCCUGUGUUCUUAUUUAAAUUAUAGUUUUUGUUUCUAAAUUUAUGUAUAAAUUAUCCCUACCUAUUGAGAUCAAGCAGCUGCCUUCACUGUCAUCUUUUCAGCAUCUGCUGAAAUAUUCUAAACAACAUUGUUGUUUAGAAAGUUGAAGUAAUUCUAAUCUGUUUUAGUAUUUUAACUUUGGUAUGUUUUGAAGUAUGGCUGUGAAUUUUUCUUGAUUUUCUUGUUUUUUCUUUUUGUUGAAGGUUUUUACAGUCAAAACACUUUAUGAAAUAAGUAAACAAGUUAGCAUAUAUAAAUCCUUUGCUCUCCAUUUUGGUGGUGGGUUUUCUUCCUUGGAGAAGUCUAUGGUCACCCAGCUUUGCCUUCUGUGCAACAUCUCAUUUUCUAUAUUGAUAGGAUUUGUUUUGUUUGGAGAACAUUUUAUCAGUAAGCCCUAUCCCUGCAGUCCUACAUUCCCCCCCCCCCCAGGUCCACCACCCCUGUAAACCUCAGCAGGCCUAAAUCUUCUCAAGUGUGUAAAGCCCUCCUUCAGCAUUUCACAGGCUAAUCACAUGCACUAAUAUAUCAAAAGCACCAGAACAGCUUCAGCAUAAAUCUUUGCCAAAAUAUCAACAACCCUGUUACACCUAGUUUUGCAUGUAAUAUUGGAAUACAGACUACUGACAUCUCCAGGCAGGACUCAGAAAGACACCUGCCAGUGACCCUGGAAAUAUCCGCUCACUUGGGACUCCGGGUGGGUGGCUGUUGCUGCUGUGGUGGGUUCAGGGAGGCUCCCAACUUCCAGGCAUGGGCGGGGAGGGCUGGCACUGCCCAACUCUGGCAGCGUUAGAAGAAGAAGAAGAGAAGAGUUUGGAUUUGAUAUCCCGCCUUUCACUCCCCUUCAGGAGUCUCAAAGCGGCUAACAUUCUCCUUUCCCUUCCUCCCCCACAACAAACACUCUGAGAGGUGAGUGGGGCUGAGAGACUUCAAAGAAGUGUGACGGGCCCAAGGUCACCCAGCAGCUGCAUGUGGAGGAGCGGAGACACGAACCCGGUUCCCCAGAUUACGAGACUACCGCUCUUAACAACUACACUACACUAGACCCUCAGGCUGGGGCUUGGGGCAGCGAGCAGCCCACCCCCAACCUAUUUAAGGGGGAGGCCAGGUGCAGGCUGCCCUCUUGGCCGAUUGUCGCAGGAUUUUCCACCCACCCAAUCUUUAGGGGCCCACCCAGAGGAGGAAAGUGGGCACAUUGCCAUGGACCUUGAUAUGGUUAAUUCAGUUGCUGUAUUUGGGGGCCAGGGAGGAAUUUCCUCCUGCAAGCAAAUUGGCCGGCUUGUAGGUUUUUGCCUACCUCUUAGCAACUGUCACAACUUUGGUGGAUUAGGCAAUGGGCUGCAUAGUACAUGUUAGAGGGGUCAAGGAGGGGGGACUCUAUCCGGGAGUCCACUGGUGGACCUUUCCCAAUGGUGGCCUGUGCGGGGUUGUGGCAUCCAAUCCAUGUUUGAGUUGACUCCCCAGCACUGGUUUGAAGCCACCAGGUUCCUAUCAGGUAGCAGGCAAGGUGCCUGAUGCAGGAUAUGCUCCCAAUGCCUUAGCCAAACCUACUCUUUCCUUUAAUCAAUAAAGUUGUGGCCUAAUUUCCAGUUUCUUGUGUCAUUCCUGCAGCCUUUCUUUCACCUGUCAUGGCCACUAUGUAUCUGUGCUGGCAAUCUACUACCAAUCAGAACCAAGAGUAGUGAGCUAGAUGGACCAAUAAUUUGCCUUGAUCAGUCUCCUCACGUCCUCCUUCCAUUAUCAUCUCCAUCCAUUUGCACAGAGAUUGCUUUCUGAGGCCAUCCUCAAAUAUCAACUUUUUUUAAAAAAAUCAUUUUUAUUAAGUUUCCCAUUUUAACAAUCCAAUCAAAUCACAUUGAAUGUUCCAAAUUAUACAAAUACUUAUCAAAUGGUCCAAAUAUUCUGCCUAAAUUAUAUAUUUUUUUGUUGGGACUUCCCAUGUUUCAGGUUCGGGGGGACUCUUAUCAUCUCAUAUCUCUGCUGCCUUUAAUAGUCUUUCCAAUAGUUCCUUUAACCUGUUGUUAACCUUCCUUCUUUCAUGGCCUCUGAGUUGUUUCCACAAGCAAGUUGAAAUAAGCAAUGAUGUGUUUCUGUAUGAAUUUUAUGUGUAUGACUCUUCGAUGUUGUUGCAGUGUCUCCUCACACGCUGGUGUUUAUGCCAAAUCAAUCCAAAAGUCAUUUCGCUGCUGACAGACGCCAUCUUCUCUCAUAGAAUCAUAGAAUCAUAGAGUUGGAAGAAACCACAAGGGCCAUCGAGUCCAACCCCCUGCCAAGCAGGAAACACCAUCAGAGCACUCCUGACAUAUGGUUGUCAAGCCUCUGCUUAAAGACCUCCAAAGAAGGAGACUCCACCACACUCCUUGGCAGCAAAUUCCACUGUCGAACAGCUCUUACCGUCAGGAAGUUCUUCCUAAUGUUUAGGUGGAAUCUUCUUUCUUGUAGUUUGGAUCCAUUGCUCCGUGUCCGCUUCUCUGGAGCAGCAGAAAACAACCUUUCUCCCUCCUCUAUGUGACAUCCUUUUAUAUAUUUGAACAUGGCUAUCAUAUCACCCCUUAACCUCCUCUUCUCCAGGCUAAACAUGCCCAGCUCCUUAGCCGUUCCUCAUAAGGCAUCGUUUCCAGGCCUUUGACCAUUUUGGUUGCCCUCCUCUGGACACGUUCCAGUUUGUCAGUGUCCUUCUUGAACUGUGGUGCCCAGAACUGGACCCAGUACUCCAGGUGAGGUCUGACCAGAGCAGAAUACAGUGGCACUAUUACUUCCCUUGAUCUAGAUGCUAUACUCCUAUUGAUGAGGCCCAGAAUUGCAUUGGCUUUUUUAGCUGCCGCGUCACACUGUUGGCUCAUGUCAGUUCCAAUGAAAUCAAAUCUAGGCGUUUGCUCAUUAAUUUUCCCAGAGUGGUUGGAUCAAACAUUAGCCUUUCCAGGGGAGAUUUACCAAAUCAGACUUGAAAUAUAGAUAUAAUGAUAUAUUAAGAGCUCACCUCCUCCUAUAACUAUUUAUAACUCUGCAGCUCGGUCUUAUUCCAUAAUGGCAGAUUUCCAAUCAAAAACUGAGUCACAUUCUAAGAACCUGUCCAAUUUUUUUUGAAGUCUCUCCAGAGGCUAAUGAGAUCCUGCUUCUUUCUAAAAUUGGCAUUUGGAGGGUCUUUUAUCUUCUUCCAGGCAAUUAAAAAAACAGAAGCUUUAAUUAUAUAAUAUUGUUAUUUCCACACAGUUUAUAUUGUCCAAUCUCGCUUGCUGUAAAUAAUGUAAACGGUUCUUCUGGGGGGGGGGGGGUUGCCAAGUAUUAUAAUAAAUCAAAGUACAAUAGUAAAAAAGGCUUUACCCCCUCCUUUUCCGUUCCGUUCCAACAUACCAACUUAGAUGUUAUCCUCCACCACUCCGUCUCUUUUGGCACCUCAGUGGCUGGCUUAAUUGGCAGAUUAAUUUCCCCCUCCUCACUCGAAGCAUGUCCACAACUUAAAUCCAAUUUUUCAUCUUAAGUAAUGGAACUUGGUGCUCUCGCAGGGACCAGCGUCCAGGAGAUCCAAACUCCCUCGGGGGAUUUCCAUCCAGUGCUCCCACCCCCUCCUUCUUACGAACUUGGGGGUGGUUUAUUAGGCAUCCGCGAUGAGACUGCAUCUUCCCUUACCCUGGGGAGAAUUUGGGAGGCUGAUUACUCCCAUCUCAGCCUCUAAUUACCCGGUGGGAGCUGGAGCGAUGGUAUUGUCAGCCAUCUUCCGUGGCACCUCAAGCUCAAGUUCCACGUCCUCAAAUAUCAACUUGAUGAUAUCAACUUGAUGAACAUUACGCCAAAUCCCAUGAAAACCAGGGUGACAUAUCUCCUCUUUUCCCAGGAAACAUCCUCUUUUUCAUGGGUAUAAAAUGAGAGUCGUCAUAGCAAAUCAUAGUUAAAAGUAGAAGUCAGCAAAUGUGUCCUCUUUUUAUGCUCUUCAAAAUAUGGCAGACCUAAAUGCCCCUUAAUAUCUUGAGCCUUAAGUUAAAGGGGAGAAUAGGUGAUACUUUAAAAGUUGUAUUUAUUUGUCACAAUUAUGUUGUACAAAAAGAGGGGAGAAAUAGAUAUUAUCAUCAAAUGUAAAAGUCACAGAGUAAACAUUUCACUUGUCAUCUAAAGGCCAGUGGAAGUGAUGGUAUUGCAGCUGAACUAUUUAAAAUUUUAAAAGAUGAUGCUGUUAAGGUGCGACACUCAAUAUGCCAGCAAGUUUGGAAAACUCAGCAGUGGCCAGAGGAUUGGAGAAGAUCAGUCUACAUCCCAAUCCCAAAGAAGGGCAGUGCCAAAGAAUGCUCCAACUACCGCACAAUUGCGCUCAUUUCGCACGCUAGCAAGGUUAUGCUUAAAAUUCUACAAGGAAGGCUCGAGCAGUAUGUGGACCGAGAACUCCCAGAAGUGCAAGCUGGAUUUAGAAGAGGCAGAGGAACCAGAGACCAAAUUGCAAACAUGCACUGGAUUAUGGAGAAAGCUAGAGAGUUCCAGAAAGACAUCUACUUCUGCUUCAUUGACUAUGCAAAAGCCUUUGACUGUGUCGACCACAGCAAACUAUGGCAAGUUCUUAAAGAAAUGGGAGUGCCUGAUCACCUCAUCUGUCUCCUGAGAAAUCUCUAUGUGGGACAAGAAGCUACAGUUAGAACUGGAUAUGGAACAACUGAUUGGUUCAAAAUUGGGAAAGGAGUACAACAAGGCUGUAUAUUGUCUCCCUGCUUAUUUAACUUAUAUGCAGAAUUCAUCAUGCGAAAGGCUGGGCUGGAUGAAUCCCAAGCUGGAAUUAAGACUGCCGGAAGAAAUAUCAACCUCAGAUAUGCAGAUGACACAACCUUGAUGGCAGAAAGUGAGGAGGAAUUAAAGAACCUUUUAAUGAGGGUGAAAGAGGAGAGCGCAAAAUAUGGUUUGAAGCUCAACAUUAAAAAAACGAAGAUCAUUACCACUAGUCCCAUCACCUCCUGGCAAAUAGAAGGGGAAGAAAUGAGGGCAGUGAGAGAUUUUACUUUCUUGGGCUCCAUGAUCACUGCAGAUGGUGACAGCACUCACAAAAUUAAAAGACGCCUGCUUCUUGGGAGAAAAGCAAUGACAAACCUAGACAGCAUCUUAAAAAGCAGAGACAUCACCUUGCCAACAAACGUCCGUAUAGUACAAGCUAUGGUUUUCCCAGUAGUGAUGUAUGGAAGUGAGAGCUGGACCAUAAAGAAGGCUGAUUGCCGAAGAAUUGAUGCUUUUGAAUUAUGGUGCUGGAGGAGAUCAAACCUAUCCAUUCUUAAGGAAAUCAGCCCUGAGUGUUCACUGGAAGGACAGAUCAUGAAGCUGAGGCUCCAAUACUUUGGCACCUCAUGAGAAGAGAAGACUCCCUGGAAAAGACCCUGAUGUUGGGAAAGAUGGAGGGCACAAGGGGAAGGGGAUGACAGAAGACGAGAUGGUUGGAUAUUAUUCUCGAAGCUACCAGCAUGAGUUUGACCAAACUGCGGGAGGCAGUGGAAGACAGGAGUGCCUGGCGUGCUCUGUUCCAUGGGGUCACGAAGAGUCGGACACGACUAAACUACUAAACAACAACAACACACAAUGUUAAAACAUUAUUCAGAGCCAGAAGAUGGGCUAUAAAUGGGAAAUGUUCUGUCGGAUUUGCACAUUGCUACUUUUACACAUUACUGCUACAUUCUUCUGAGAUAAUAACAAUUGGACUUCAACGGUGUGCUAAGAAGACUUCCCCAUCAUUGCAAGCAUUUCUGUUUGCAGAUGGAAUGAUUUGCACUUUGCUCUUGCUGCAUGCUGUUCUGGAGGUUCUCCUGAUCCUCUCGAUCAGACUUGGGAAGAACUCAGGAGCAGGAGAGGGGGGAAAGUCCCAUUGUGCAGCAGGUCACAUUGCUCUGGCUAGUCCAACAACUCAGUUGAAUGUGUUCAAGGGUGCAUUGCUAUGCACACUUGCAUGGGAACACAGUAACUUGCAAGUAAAAAACCAUAUGAUCUGGCAGCAAAUCAUUCUGUAGGUGUUAUAUCAAACUGUUCAUAAUAAAUCAUUUCUCCCCAGAGGUAAUUGAGAGUUAGACAUAUUAAUGGCAUGUUUGAAUUUCUACAGAUGGUAAUUCCCAGCUAUUAGCUGAGUUGUCUUGAUGACCUUCACUGUACUAGUAUUACUUUACUCAUCCUAUCUUAUUCAUGUACUUCACACAUAUAUUCAUAUCCUUGGUAACCUUUGCAAAUGAUUUCCCGGGGGGGGGGGGGAUUUCUUCAGCAAUACCAGAAAAAACUAACCUAUUGCCAUCAUCUUCUAAAAAGUAAUUAGCCAUGAAUAAUUGUUCCUUCCUGACAUCUUUCUAGCUUGCACAGAAUUGAUUUUUUUUAAAAAAGUGGCUCUAUUAAUUGUGGAAGCAUUGGCAGCUAUUUUGCUUUUGUUCUCUCAUUUCUUAUUCUGUCUCUGUGUGUGUUUUGUUAUAAGUGCAGUGGAUUACUUUUUUUCAUCUUGUUUAAUGUUGCUUGCAUAUUUCCCAAGUUUUAUUAUAAAUUGCAUCCCAGACUGGCAUAAUAGAUCCCCCCCACCUCCCACCAGUUUUAUUAGUUUUGAUUUUGCAAGGUUCCUUUGCCUUCCAUGAGCCAUUCUCAUGAAAGUUAAGGCACAUUUAUUGGAGGAGGUGGGUCUUUUUUUUGUAAUUUUGUAUAACAUGCAUCUUCUGACCAACUUCUAGUAAAUGACUGUAAAUAAGUCCAGCUCUCAUCAUGCAGCUGAACACCCAUACUGUAUAGUGUAAGGGAUGUGGAGGUGGGGGGCGAACCUCAUAAAAACCUCCUCAACCAGGAAGUAAGCAGUUAAAAGAAAUCCUGUGCAUUUCCCCCCAAUUUCCAACUUGUCUGCCCACUUAUUAUUUUCCGCUGCACAACUGUGGGGGAGUGCUAAAUAGGUCCAAAGGUGCAUUCUUAGUUCAUGCUGAUCAACAGUGAAGCCCAACAGGCCUGUGAGCACUUUGUGCAAAUGAAGGCAGCCCUGUUUAAGGAAGUUUUUAAUGUUUGAAGUUUUAUUCUGUUUUUAGUGUUCUGUUGGGAGCUGCCCAGAGUGGCUGGGGAAAUCCAGCCAGGUGGGUGGGGUAUAAAUGAUAAAAUUCUUCUUCUGUUAAGUUGUGGGUGAACAUAUCAGAUGACACAGCAAUUCUUCAAACAGCUCUUGUUUAUUCACAGGCCAGGACAGAACUGAACUGAACUGAAGGGUUCAGUCAGCCUGCUUAUAUAGAGCUCCAGUACAACGUAACUGUAACAAUUUUCUAAAACUAUCCAAUCACUGAACGUCACUUUCGAUCCCUUAUUUGCAUAACUAUCUACAGUAUCCCCCUGCUGGCCCAGGGUGAGAACUUCAGUACAUAACACCUUCUUCUUCUUCUUCUUCUUCUUCUUCUUCUUCUUCUUCUUCUUAUUCGGAAUGGUGAGAUAGAAUCCAUUUGCUCCCAGCAAACCCUGCCCCAAGGGUAAUCAGAAAAUUUCUGCCUGAGGGAAUACUACAGAAAUCAGCUCAGUAGUUAGAAAAUUCUAGAAAGUUGGAUUCUAUUUGCCUCAGCAGUCCAACACCCAAAAAGUACCCUAUGAGCACAAAAUGUCUCCAGAGCCAUCCCCCCACAACCCCCACUUUCAGGUUUGCCACAUAAUGCUGUGUAAAUUGGCUAGUCCAGAAAGUCAGUCACAAGAAGAUGAGCUAACCGAUGUCUGGUGUCUGUUUUUAAACUUGCGUAGGUCAGCUGUAUGGGCAAGUUGCAGACAGGACAGGAGGGGAGGGGAGGGGGAAAGAGGCUAGAAAAAGUUCUGGUUUUGCCUGCUACUGUAAUGUCUCCCAAAGGGAGGAACUGUUGAGACAGACCCUCAGAAAGAGGAACUGCUUAUGUAAGAACUCUUGUGCUGCUUGUUUGCAAAAUGAUGUAAUCUCACUCUGCACAUGCUUUUGUACUCAUGUCUGGAAGUUGUUUGUGACACACUAUAAAAGUGAGCCCCAAAUAGCAAAUGGGGCUUAGCCUUUGAGAGUAAUCUCGCUGAGCCGCUACGCAGCUAAAAAUAAACCAGACCUUCCUUGAAGAACCCAGUGUCUGUCUUAAUUGACUAGGAUAAAUCCUGCAACAGUAGUUAUGUAGCACCCUGCUUGUGGUUAACGCUUAGCUGGAAUGAAAUAUUCAACGCAGCAAUAGAGAAAUUAAAAUAAUAAUUUAUUUGUCAGACAAAUAAAUGAGAGACACAGUGGUAUAUGGAUACCAAAGCUCUGCCUACUCCAGCCCUGAUGGCCAGCACUUAUAUUUCCUCAGCCCAGCCCCCUUGCUCCUCCUUUGGCUGCCUCUGUCCAAUCAGCCUGGUUGAAAUUCCUAUUGGUUGUUUGCUAGAACCAAUCAUAAAAGAUACACCCAUUUCCUAUUUCCUUUUAUGGGAGACAAAAAGCUAUAUUUCCUUGUAUCCAUAAAUGGCAGACAAGUAGCCAUAUAUCUUACAUUUACCUCGACCAGGCACCUCAAUUACCAGAUAACCUUUGGCCCCUGUUGCCCUAUUCACCGCAAACCAGAUGGCUAAAGCAGAUGGUGCAUGGUUUCUAAUUUUUUUAUCUUAAAGAGAUCUUGAGUUCACCUUCUCACCCACCAUAAUAGGAAUCUAACAUAAGAAUCUAACAUUUCUUACUUUCUAAAUCCUUUGCAUAAUUACAUUUAAGCCAAUAUAUUUCAUACAUAACAUAGAUAGAUUUUUAGAAGGAAAGGCCUUUUCAAAUUAGAAGGAACUUAGUAAAAGCUAAGUUCUCUUAGUUCUAUAAAGAAACCUUUUCCCUAACCAGCAGCUGUUUCUUCCAUUUAACCUUUAACCUUAUGGCUCGAGUCUUCUGUUAAACAAUAAAUUUCACUAUUUACCAGUUCUUAAUUGUGUUUUUACAGCUUGAUUGUAUUCUGGUCAGUGUGACCUUUUGCUCUCUGGCUCUAAUUUCCUUUUACAACCUUGAAAUACUUUUUACAACCCUGAAAUACUGCUAUUUAUAGCAGUGGGGCCCUUGAACAGCUGCCAGAGUAUUCAAGCUGGUCUUCUCCCUGGCAUGAGAGAAAAUAUAUUUACAAAUAUAAUUUUUUAAGCUCAAAGCAGAUUUUGAUCAGAUGCCUCAUUCCCCCCUUUCAAGCUCAAGGACCUUCAUCCCAAGUGUCCUUGAUAGCUUGACCUUCAUCAUAUUCCUGAGGUAAAGCUCUGUAUAGGGCCAUAAUAUGAGGUAAAGUUUCAUUUGAAAUCAUCUUGCUAAUUGUACUUCUAAAACAUGAAAUGAUACAUGGCACCGUACAUAAAACCAUUACUACUACCGUCAAGAAAAACAAGCAAGACAAUAGUAUCCCUUUGAGUCCCGCAACAUUAGGUAACCAAUUGGUGAGCCAUCCCAUAUCCCAUCCUUCCCAUAUUUGUACUGGGACAUGUGCUAUACUCUCCAUCUUUGUGGCCAACACACGGAUUGCCUCACCAUUAUCAGAAAUGUUAAAGCAACAGGCAUUCCCUGUCAAGUUUAAGACUCCACAUAGGCCUCCCUGCCUGGCAAGUACAUAAUCCAUUCCCAUUUUCAGCUGCAAAAUGGCGGCUCUACUUUCAUCCAACUGUUGUGCAAUAAGUCUCAAACUCUGGGCCGUUGCAUUGGUUACAAGUUCCACUACUGCUUGCAAUCGAAUUAUUCUGUUUAGAUUAUAAAUAGGAUCCCGUGCCCCUUGUAUGAGCUCAUCAGGAUUCCAGGAGGCAGGCUCAUAAUAGGCUAUAAUGCGCUCUGGUGGCCAAUCAUCAGUAUCACUCCAACUUUGGGUACUUCCUCCUGCUAUAUGAGAAAUAUCAGCGUUUCUUCGUGUACGCUUUGCCGAACUAGUGGGCAUAAUCCACAUUGGUGGUAAUACCCAUCCCAGGAAGCAAGUCCCACUCCAUUUGGGAGGGAGUUGCUUGUAUGCCCAUUCUCCACAUAUCCACCACAACCAUCGGGUCUGAGGUUUUUGGUACGUGGAGUGCAUAAGGCGAAAUAUCAAAAGGGGCAUAGAGUUCACAGUGCAGUAUGUUAGAUUGCCUUUUCUGUCACAGUUAUGUUCCACACCAGUUUCCAUGCAUGAAUAAAAGGAGGUGCACAGGGCAAGGUAUUCCGAGUUCGAUAGGUAGUACCGUUUGCCCAGGUUUGACUAUUCUUAAUAUAAUCCCAAGUAUAGUGGCAAUGAGAAGAGCCUAUCAUGAUAGAAUCAGCUGCAGCUGAUAAUUUAUGUACACAGAAUUCCCCUUGCACAGGUAUAACUCAUAUUGGUUUAGUUGAGUUCCAUCCGGGGAAAUUCUGUACUUCUGUUUGGUGUGGCAUUUCGCUUACCAUACCAAUGGCAUUUAAUGGUAUCGGUAAUAAGGGCAUACCUCCCUCUGAAUCAUCUGGUCCAAGAGAGCAAACAAGGCAAUUGGUCCUAUUUGUAACAUUGGCUACCAUCUCGGCUAAGCCUACCCACAUAUUGUGGUCAUGGCGGAAUCCAUAUUUAGCAAAUUUGGUCAGAUUCAAGGACCCUUCCCCUUCCCAAGGGAUCAGGAUUAAUAAUAAAAUCAUGUUGAUGUCUAGUAUAUGCAUUUCUUCCACAAAAGAUUACCUUAUUGUGAUAACAAAAAAUAUUAGGCCCAAUAUAAUUCCCCAAUGACAGAAAUGGUGAACCACCAAGACCAAAACAUAUAUCCCGAGGAUCCCCAAUGAGUAAUAUCCCUGAUAAUUGUUCCACAGGGGGGGGCAGUCAAUCAAUUGUAUAAGAGAAUCUUCCUGUUCACAAUCGCUGGUUCAGACGCUCCUCAAGCUUCAGGCGUGCGCAGGUCAGCCAGCUUCCAGGUUGUGGCUGCAGCAGGCCGGUCGUCUAAUGUUGCCCGUGACCUAGCCCGUUCCCCGUAGGGCUAGAUACAGGGGUUUUUGGAGAGAGUCAGUUUAAAAGGAUUAGAGGGGUCACCUUUGCACGUCCAACUGCCUUCGGACUUCUUCAAACGGGAGUGAUGAAUCCAGGGGGUCACCUCAGCUACCUUCACCGCUGUUGGAGUAGAGAGCAAGACGGUGUAAGGCCCACGCCACUUAGGUGCAAGUGGAUCACGUUUCCACUCUUUCACCCAUACGCUAUCGCCAGCCUGGAACUGAUGAAUCGGCUCGGCAAUGCUGCACGGCGUGCGCUCGAGGGCCCACCUGUUAAGAGAAACAAAAACACGGGAGAGAGAUUGCACUUGUCCCUGUGUCACAUGGUCUCCUAUUUGUUUGAGGUCAGCUGGAAUAUCCUGAACAAAGGAGGGUGGCCUCCCAUACAGGAGCUCAAAAGGUGACAACUUAAGUCUUUUUGUGGGUGCACACCGAACACGAAACAGUGUUAUGGGUAACACAUCUACCCAUCCCAAUCCUGUUUCCUGGGUUAAUUUUGCCAAUUGGGUUUUCAGAGUCCGAUUCAUUCUUUCAGUUUUCCCGAACUUUGAGGCCUAUAUGCUGCAUGCAGUCUCCAUUUCACUUGUAGGACUCGACAUACUUCUUGUACUACUUGAUCAAUGAACGCUGGCCCAUUAUCACUUCCAAUGCAUCUAGGUAAUCCAAACCUCGGGAUCAAUUCAGUGAGGAGUCUCUUAGUUACCUCUCGUGCCUUUUCAGUCCUGGUGGGAAAAGCUUCAACCCAUCCAGUAAGAGUAUCUACAAACACAAGGAGGUACUUGAAUCCCUUAGAAGGGACCAGCUCUGUGAAGUCCACAAUUAGGCUUUCCAUGGGGAUGUAUCCCACAUGUUGGAUUCCAGGAGGUUGUACCGGUCCCUGCCUGGGAUUGUUUUUAGCACAAAGAACACAUUUCUGUGAAAUGCAAGUUGCUAAUUGUGAUAGGUUAAUAAUAUACAACUUCCGACUGAGACUCUCUCUGGUUGCAGUACCGCCAAGGUGAGUAGAUUCAUGAUAAUUUCUUACAAUUGUGCCUGCUAGGUGAUGAGGUACAUAAAUCCUAUUGUCCGGCAGGAUCAUCCAACCGUCCUUCACAACCGCUCCUUCCUGUUCAGCCCACUUCCUCUCUUCUGGGGUAUAGUGAGGUUUAAUUUCUUCUGGAACUACCUCUGGUAUGAGGGCUGCUAUAAAUCCUCCCACAGGCUUCUGGGCUGCCUCUCGGGCUGCUUUGUCAGCAGCAUGAUUUCCUCUGGUUAUUGGAUCCCUUCCACGUCCAUGACCUUUGCAGUGCAUUACAGCAAUCUGUUCUGGAGCCCAUACUGCUUCCAACAGGAUUUCUACUUCAGGUCCAUAUUUCAAGGCCUUCCCAUGGGCUCCGAUUAGACCUCUUUCUUUCCAUAGAGCUCCAUGUGCAUGCAGGGUUAAGAAGGCAUAUUUAGAAUCAGUAUAGAUGUUUGCCUUACAUCCGGCUGCCAAUUGCAGAGCUCUAGUUAAACCUAUAAGUUCAGCCUUUUGUGCUGAGGUGCCAGCAGGCAAAGCUUCAGCUUCCACAACUUCCUCAUUGGUGACCACAGCAUAUCCUGCUCGUCUGGCACCUUCAUGCAGGUAACUGCUACCAUCAGUAUAAUAUACAACAUCUGGAUUUUUCAAUGGUUCAUCUUUCAGAUCGGGUCUACUGGAAUACACUUCAUCCAUUAUUUGGAGACAAUCAUGUGAUUCUUCAUCAUCUACCUCUGGUAGGGGCAGCAAAGUUGCUGGAUUGAGCAUAUUCACUACUCGUAGAUGAAUCCUGGGAUUUUCACACAAUAGGCCUUGGUAUCUAGCCAUCCUUGGAUUCGUUAGCCAAUAACUACCCUUAUAUUCCAUGAGUGUCAGAACAGCAUGAGGUACAUUCACAUACAUCGUCUGGCCAAAGGUAAAUUUAUCAGCUUCUUUGACAAGGCUUGCAGUGGCCGCUACUGCCCUUAGGCAUGGAGGCCAUCCUUUUGCUACUGAGUCCAAUUGUUUUGACAAAUAAGCUACUGGACGGUUCCAACUUCCUAAUCUCUGGGUCAGGACUGCUGCUGCAAUCCCAUUCUGUUCAUGUACAUACAGCUGAAAGGGUUUUUCCGAAUUAGGCAGUCCCAGGGCUGGGGCCUCCAUAAGUCGUUGUUUGAUAACUAAAAAGGCUUGUUGCUGCUCAGGUCCCCAUACGAAUGGGUCCUUUUCUGCACCUCGAGUGCUUUCAUGUAAGGGCUUGGCCAGACUGCUGAAAUCAGGUAUCCAUAGUCUACAAAACCCUGCUGUUCCCAGGAAUCCUCUGAGUUGUUUCCUUGUGGUAGGUUCCUUGAUAAGGCAAAUAGCUUCUUUCCUCUCUGGUCUCAAUGCUCGUUGUUGGUGUGAGAUGUCAAAGCCCAAAUAUUUGACCUUUUCUAAACAUAACUGUGCCUUUUUCUGGGAAACUCGGUAGCCAGCUUCCCAGAGCAAGUGGAGCAGUUCCUCUGUCCCUUCUUUACAGGUAUCAAAAUCCUUUGCCGCUAGUAUAAGGUCAUCUACAUAUUGCAGAACCACCUUUUUCCAGGUAUUGAGGGGUAACUUGUUAGAUCCUUCGCCAAGGCAGUGCCAAAUAAAGUUGGGGAAUUUUUGAAUCCCUGGGGCAAUCUUGUCCAGGUUAGCUGGCCUUUUGUUCCUGUCAAAGGGUCUUCCCACUGGAAGGCAAAUAUAGGUUGGCUCUGUGGUGCCAGCCGGCAACAGAAGAAUGCAUCUUUCAAGUCCAAUACAGUAAAAAUGUUGCUUCUGGUGGGAUCAAACUCAGCAAGGUAUAUGGGUUUGGUACAUUUGGGUGCAAGGUCUCGAUAGCCUGGUUUACGAGCCUCAAGUCCUGUACUGGCCUGUAUUCAUCUGUCCCAGGCUUCCGAACAGGCAAAAGGGGUGUGUUCCAUUCUGAUUGGCAGGGCUUAAGCAGACCAUAUUUUAAUAGGCGGUCCAAAUGUUUCUGGAUGCCCUCUGCUGCUCGCCGGGGUAAAGGAUAUUGCUUUACAGAUACAGGGGUAGCCAUAGGUUUUAGGGUUACUACAAUUGGAGCUAUAUUCUUAGCCAUUCCUGGUGGGCUAUUUUCGGCCCAUACUCCUGGUGGCACUUGUAGGGUUCGGAGGAGCUUGUUUAAUUCUGUAUCCAAUGUGGGUUGGACUUGCAGGGCUGACAUUAGGCGCCAUGAUUGUUCCUUAGGUACUGAGAGGGAAAUUAUUCCUGCUGCCUUUGAUGGCAGUUUCAUUUCUGGACCUCGAGGAGUGAAGGUGAUUUGGGCCUGCAAUUUGGACAGCAUAUCUCUACCUAAGAGAGGCAUUGGACACUCAGGUAUAUACAAAAACUGAUGGGUUAAAUGAUGUCCCCCAAUCUGGCAUUCUAAAGGUUGGAGGAAAGACCUCUUAGCUGACUGACCAGUGGCACUUUUAAUGACUACACUUUUGGAUGCCUUUUUCUGCAAUAGUUCUGGGAGUACUGAGUAUUCAGCGCCAGUAUCUAUCAUAAAGUCUAUUAAAUGGCUCCCUAAUUGAAUUUUGACCGUGGGCUCCUGGAAGCCUAACUUUAUGGAGUCCGGUCGUUCCUAGUCUUGGGUAAAAUCCUCCUCUGCCAGUCCAAUGAAAUUGUCUCUACUCCGUCCUUGUCCAGGUCUCUGAUAUCUUCCAUCUCGGAUCAUUCCCCGUCCCCGUCCCUGGUUUCUUGGGCCGGAGCCUGGGCCUGGGCCUGGGCGUACUUCUUCCAACCUCAGGGGUUCAGGACACUCCCGCUUCCAAUGACCCUCCUUCUUGUAAUUCGCACAUUGAUUCCUUCCCAGUGGUGGAUUCCUUCCCCGUCCCCUCCCUCCAUUUAAAGGGCGGUAGUCUUGCUUCACUGCUGUGGCUAGCAUCACCAUCUUUUCCUUCUGCCACUUCUUCUUCUCUUGUUUCUCAGCCUCAUCCCUAUUCCGAUAAACUCGGCGUGCAAUGGCCAUAAUUUGGCUCAUCAGCAUCCCUUCCCAUCCUUCUGACUUCUGAAUUUUCUUACGAAUGUCAGAAGCGCACUGAGCCACAAAAGUAGCAGUAAUCAUUCUGCUGUUUGCAGGGGCUUCAGGGUCAAAAGGAGUCCAUAUGCGAUAGGCUUCCUGCAGCCUCUCUAAAAAGUCUCCCGGACUCUCAUUCGGUUUCUGUUCUACUUCUGAGACUUUAGUCAUAUUAGUGGGCUUCUGGCAUGCCCUGCGGAUACCUUGCACAAGCGUCUGGCGGUAGGUGGUAAGCCUGGCCAGGUGAAUUGCAUUGUUUGGAUCCCAAUUAGGAUCCUCCAAGGGAAAAUUGUCCUGGAGAUGACGGUCAACAUUAAGAAUAUUUCCCACUCUGGCCUGCUCACGCAAAUAUAUCUGUGCCUUUUCAAUUAUGUCUCUUCUUUCCUCAGUGGUGAACAGAGUAUUCAGGAGCUGGCGGCAAUCUGUCCAAGUAGGACUAUGAGUAUUUACUAUUGAAGUCACCAAGUCCAUCAUAGCCUGAGGUUUUUCUGCGAAAGACGGGGUGUGUGUUUUCCAAUUCAUCAGAUCCGUAGUUGUGAAUGGAAUGUACUGGAGGGUCGAAGUUCGAGGUGGCCAUGGUCCGAGUUGCCCGUUAACCAGCACAGGCUCCUCAAGUGCAUCAAAUACUCUUCUGAGAGGGGCUACUACGUGACCUUUCUCUUCGCUUUGCUUUAGGGGCCUCAAAUCAUAGGGGAUAGUAUUUGUCCCAAGGCGUUCUUUUAACAGCUUUAUACGCCUGGCUGUAUUGCUUACUGACCGAUCAAAGUCUCCCUGUAACUCCUGUAAUAGUUCUCUAGGACUUGGAUGUACAGGGGUUUGGGGUGGGCAAUCAGUUGUUCCACUAAAGGAGACUGUAGAUGGAGUUCUACUGGGACUCACAGGUGGAAUAACCACUUCUGCUUGGGCUUUAUUAUAGGACUCCAAUGUCUCCUGAAGAUAUUUAUCAUAAUCUAUCAAGGAAUCAAGCUCUGUGACUCCAGCCCCAUUAUUCCUUCCACUUUCUUGCCUUGGGGUUACAACUGGUGGAGUGUUUGGAUUAGGCUCCCCUCGAUGUGGAGCAUAGGGUGGAGGUGGAAGCACCUCUUCCUCUGGUCCCUCAAAAAUGGGUUUGAGUUUAUUUGGCAAGAUUCCUUUUCUAGCUUCGGCUUUUACUGCCAAUAAUUUGCAUUGUUGGACUUUGCAUUCCCUUAUCCAUGGAGGAUUAUUAUUUAAUGUGCUCAGCCAAGAAUCUAUAUAUGAAAAUUGUUCUGGGCACCCUCCAGUUUCUUUGGUGAUGUUAGACCAAAGUUUGCUUGCUAAAUUUAUAUCAAAACUUCCCUGAGGUGGCCAUCCAGUAUUUUGUUUUGGCCAGUCUAAUUCACAUAACGUUCUCAAGCGCUCUGGCGUCAUUUUGACUCCAUAUGCUCCUGAGAAGGCUUUCUUAAAAUUAUUUAACAUACAUUCAAGAGGUGUAUUUUCCCCCUUUGAACCUCCAACUCCCAUUGUAUGGCCCUGUGAAGUAUCCACUCAGUCACUCACACACGCGCUUCGUGAGGUUCCUUGCCCGGAUGAAGUCGCCUUACCGGGAACCGAAGUACUACCCACUCCACACUCAGGUCAGCUACAGAUUGUACUUUCUCACACAUACAAUGCGCUGGAUACUUCACCACACUCUACCUCCCAAUCUUUCCCUUUUCCCUCCACCAGACCACCAUCUGAUGUACCCAACCACCUAGCGUACUCAGUUCCCCCUUACUGAGACGCAGAAGUUUGAUCAAGACUUCUCUUCCUCCCAAUUAAUUGGAGGGCCACAAACCCUUUGUGCACUUACCCUUAGCUGGUUCCCUGUUUAUUUCUCUGGUUACCCCCGGUCCGUCGCCGCCAGUGAGCAGGGUAUCAGACAGACGAGACUUCUGCGUUCCCCUGGAAAAAUGUUCCAGUGCGCGCUGGGUAAGCGGUCAGUGGUCCUCCCUCUUGUACCCUGCCCGCUAGGGCGAAGGGGCUGCGUUCCAGCAGACCACUUAUCCGAGUCACAGAGGCACCAUAAAAUGUAGCACCCUGCUUGUGGUUAACGCUUAGCUGGAAUGAAAUAUUCAACGCAGCAAUAGAGAAAUUAAAAUAAUAAUUUAUUUGUCAGACAAAUAAAUGAGAGACACAGUGGUAUAUGGAUACCAAAGCUCUGCCUACUCCAGCCCUGAUGGCCAGCACUUAUAUUUCCUCAGCCCAGCCCCCUUGCUCCUCCUUUGGCUGCCUCUGUCCAAUCAGCCUGGUUGAAAUUCCUAUUGGUUGUUUGCUAGAACCAAUCAUAAAAGAUACACCCAUUUCCUAUUUCCUUUUAUGGGAGACAAAAAGCUAUAUUUCCUUGUAUCCAUAAAUGGCAGACAAGUAGCCAUAUAUCUUACAUUUACCUCGACCAGGCACCUCAAUUACCAGAUAACCUUUGGCCCCUGUUGCCCUAUUCACCGCAAACCAGAUGGCUAAAGCAGAUGGUGCAUGGUUUCUAAUUUUUUUAUCUUAAAGAGAUCUUGAGUUCACCUUCUCACCCACCAUAAUAGGAAUCUAACAUAAGAAUCUAACAUUUCUUACUUUCUAAAUCCUUUGCAUAAUUACAUUUAAGCCAAUAUAUUUCAUACAUAACAUAGAUAGAUUUUUAGAAGGAAAGGCCUUUUCAAAUUAGAAGGAACUUAGUAAAAGCUAAGUUCUCUUAGUUCUAUAAAGAAACCUUUUCCCUAACCAGCAGCUGUUUCUUCCAUUUAACCUUUAACCUUAUGGCUCGAGUCUUCUGUUAAACAAUAAAUUUCACUAUUUACCAGUUCUUAAUUGUGUUUUUACAGCUUGAUUGUAUUCUGGUCAGUGUGACCUUUUGCUCUCUGGCUCUAAUUUCCUUUUACAACCUUGAAAUACUUUUUACAACCCUGAAAUACUGCUAUUUAUAGCAGUGGGGCCCUUGAACAGCUGCCAGAGUAUUCAAGCUGGUCUUCUCCCUGGCAUGAGAGAAAAAUAUAUUUACAAAUAUAAUUUUUUAAGCUCAAAGCAGAUUUUGAUCAGAUGCCUCAGUUAUGGUGUCUGGGCCGUGGACCUCAUCACUUUGGGCUAUAGGUGGGAGUUCCUAUGAUUGAAUGCUUCCCCAGGCAAUAAAAUAACAUAAGAAAUCCUUCACACAGAAAACUAUGUUAAAGGAAUGUUUUGUAUGAAAACCGCCUUCUGUCAUUUGAGGCCUUGCCUGCCCUUUGAACAGCACAGCUCAGACAUAUGUACCACUUUAGUAAGGAAAACUUAGUAAGGAACAUUCCCCAGAAUGCUCAGGAAUUCCACAUCAGACCAGUCUAUGUGGAAAGAGUUCCGUAGAGCUAUAGUUUGCAAACCACUGAUGAUAGUCCCAUACUGUGUGUUGUUUUCAUAGUCUGCUGCUGAAUUCAGAAGUGAAUGCAAUUUCCUGUUUGUGUUUAUUGCAAAUGCCAGCGUCGAAUGACUUGAGAGAGAUAGUAAGGGGCAGGCAUAUAUUGCUUGCUGUCUCUUCUGCUAUUUCACAUAUCUUGUCUGACCAGAAAAGUAGCAUAGCUUUACGUAUGAUUGCAAAUUGUCAAUCACAGUAAAUUAAUGUCUGAGAUGGAAUUAAAAUUUUAAAAGCCUGUAGUUAGCUUUAAGUAUGUUCUCCAAUUUCCAAUCUAGCCCAUGACAUUAGCUAAGUAAGAGCAUGGCACCUCUGUGGCCAGCAGGCCUGAGCAGAGAUCCUAUUUCUGUCCAGGGUUGGUGUCAGAAACUGGGGUCCUUGAGAAGUUGCAAAGGCUACAGCAACACAGGGCUCACAAAUGCCUGUCCUGAGUCCUUAUGCGCCCCAUUAAAACGUAUACCCCAUUGUCCUGAGCAGCUGGAUCGAGCUACAUACUGUAUUAAUUUUCCACAAAUCCUCUGUCUUUGGAGGCAUUUAUUUGUGAGUGUCUAUGAAUGAAUUUUUACAUGUUGCAUUGGUUACAUUUACAUUGGUCACAGGUCAUUCACCAGAAAACCUUUAUCCACAGUUUCCAAUAAACAUUCCUGUAAGUUUGACAGUUGUCCAUGAAACAUUAACUCUUUAUGUAUAUUACCAUAGAUGGAAAAAUUGAAUUGGGGGGGGGUAUCCAAAUUACAGAUAAAUGAUUGAAACUGCAAAACUGUUACAGCUUUUAAAAAGCAAUAACAAGAAAGCAUUUAAAUUACACUGACAUAUUUCUUUAUUAUUUUUGUAGGGGAGAUCAAGGCAGUUAAAGAACAAAUGUUAAUUGUAGUUAAUGUUAAUUGUAGUUAAAUACUAUUCACUAAGACACAAAACAUUAUGUAAGGAAGCUUACAAAUGUUACAUUGGUCACAACACAAUUACCCUAUUCUUGUUUUUUCAGCAGGUAAAAACCAAAUGACAAAGGACCAGCUGAAUGAUUUUGGCUGUUUGGGGCAGGGAGAUAUAAAUGUUUCUGGAGCUGAAGAGAAUUAUUGAUCAAAUAAGACUCCCAUCAUAAGAAUAGGCAGUCCGUCCACACCCAAGAUGCCUGUUGCAGCCAGAGCAACCUCUGGCACCAGGUGGCACCAGGUGACCACCCCCUCCCCUGGCUGUGCCAGAUGGCAAGCUCCCCAGACCCACUGCGGCUGCACAAUGCACCAAGUGUCACUCACCCGGAGUGCAGGGCGAGUGGUUAUUCUGAAGCUGAAGAGAAUUACUCAUUAAAGAAGAAUCCUAUCAUAAGAAUGGUCUUUAAUAAGUUAAAUAAAAUGCAUUAUCAACAUGAUAUAUAAUUACAUGCAUAUAUGAAGCAAAAAUAUACAGUGGUACCUCGGGUUAAGUACUUAAUUCGUUCCGGAGGUCUGUUCUUAACCUGAAACUGUUCUUAACAAGCAGCACCACUUUAGCUAAUGGGGCCUCCUGCUGCUGCUGCACCGCCAGAGCACAAUUUCUGUUCUCAUCCUGAUGCAAAGUUCUUAACCCAAGGUACUAUUUCUGGGUUAUUUCUGGGUCUGUAACCUGAAGUGUAUGUAACCUGAAGCAUAUGUAACCCGAGGUACCACUGUAUUAUAAUGCUCCCCAAGCAGUGGCAUUUGCCAUCCCUUUGCUCUGCUAAAGGAAUGGUUUUAGUUGCCUUCUUCUGUAUGAAAAUACAGUAUUUGGGUUUUUAUACUUUUACUGUUGGUGCUAAUGUGUGUGUUAUGGCUGCCUCAUGGAAGAUUUGCUAUGUAGGGAAUUUGCCAUGGAGGUGGGGUGCUUGCCCUUCACUUUUCAGAAAUCAACUGCAUAUACAUUAACCUGUUUGUAGCACACACAAAAAUUUGUAAUUAUUCUCCAUUUGCACUUCUCAAGCUCGUCUCUAUCAUGCUGCUUUAUCAUGAUUCUAGAGUGGGAUUGGUUACCUGAAUGUUGAAAACCAUCCCUUUUUAAUUAGGUUAUCUAGAACUUUUCCUCCCCACAUGUGCCUCUAGUGAAUGAAAAUGAAAGUGGUGAUUGCAAUUUUUAUAUACACAACAUCAUUGGAGAGGUGUGGAUACACCCCCAUUGCUGGGACAACCUACAUCUGUUUUCAAAUAGACACAAUGUGAGGCAUUGAAGAAUAAAUCUUCCACAAGCUUUAUUUUUGGAAUAAAACAAGUUAUCGGGGGGGGGGAAUAUAAGCAAUAGAUACAUACAGAUUGUGUGUGGACUACAUAGAAAUAAACAAGUACUCAGCCACCACUGAGAAUAAGAUGUGUGUACACAGCCAUAGUUUGCUAGUUCAGGUGCUACUUAACUCUCCAUCUUAGUAUCUAUUCUGCUUUAACAUUUCUCUUCGUAUAUCUACUAAUGCAUCCUUUUUCAAACCACAUACCAUCUAAUUUUUAAUGACUAUGCAUAUCUCUGUUUUUCUUAUCAUGUACUGUACUUUUCUAUAAGAGGCCCCCAUGUAUAAUAUGACCCUUAUUUUGGGGGACUCAAAUUUAAGAAUAUGGGGGGAAGAUGGCACAGAGUUGUGGAGCUUUUUUUUAGGGGGAAUUACCCAAGGGGGGUGGAGGCUACGCAGUGGAUGUAGCCUACCUUGAUUUCAGCAAGGCAUUUGACAAGGUGCCCCAUGAUAUUCUUGUAAAGAAGCUGGUAAAAUGCGGUCUUGACUAUGCUACCACAGUGGAUUUGUAACUGGCUGACUGACCGAACCCAAAGGGUGCUCAUCAAUGGUUCCUCUUCAUCCUGGAGAAGAGUGACUAGUGGGGUGCCACAGGGUUCUGUCUUGGGCCCGGUCUUAUUCAACAUCUUUAUCAACGACUUGGAUGAUGGAGUCAAGGGCAUCCUGAUCAAAUUUGCAGAUGACACCAAACUGGGAGGGGUGGCUAACACCCCAGAGGACAGGAUCACACUUCAAAACGACCUUGACAGAUUAGAGAACUGGGCCAAAACAAACAAGAUGAAUUUUAACAGGGAGAAAUGUAAAGUAUUGCACUUGGGCAAAAAAAUGAGAAGCACAAAUACAAGAUGGGGACACCUGGCUUGAGAGCAGUACAUGUGAAAAGGAUCUAGGAGUCUUGGCUGACCACAAACUUGACAUGAGCCAACGGUGUGACGCAGCAGCUAACAAAGCCAAUGCAAUUCUGGGCUGCAUCAAUAGGAGUAUAGCAUCUAGAUCAAGGGAAGUAAUAGUGCCACUGUAUUCUGCUCUGGUCAGACCUCACCUGGAGUACUGGGUCCAGUUCUGGGCACCACAGUUCAAGAAGGACACUGACAAACUGGAACGUGUCCAGAGGAGGGCAACCAAAAUGGUCAAAGGCCUGGAAACGAUGCCUUAUGAGGAACGGCUAAGGGAGCUGGGCAUGUUUAGCCUGGAGAAGAGGAGGUUAAGGGGUGAUAUGAUAGCCAUGUUCAAAUAUAUAAAAGGAUGUCACAUAGAGGAGGGAGAAAGGUUGUUUUCUGCUGCUCCAGAGAAGCGGACACGGAGCAAUGGAUCUAAACUACAAGAAAGAAGAUUCCACCUAAACAUUAGGAAGAACUUCCUGACAGUAAGAGCUGUUCGACAGUGGAAUUUGCUGCCAAGGAGUGUGGUGGAGUCUCCUUCUUUGGAGGUCUUUAAGCAGAGGCUUGACAACCAUAUGUCAGGAGUGCUCUGAUGGUGUUUCCUGCUUGGCAGGGGGUUGGACUCGAUGGCCCUCGUGGUCUCUUCCAACUCUAUGAUUCUAUGAUUCUAUGCCGAGAAUCGCUCACCCGUGCGUGUCGCUAAUCCUGCCCAACUGCUGAGCAUCAGCCAAUCAACACCACCCAUUGGUGCAGCAACCAAUAACACACACAAUAGCCACUGACAUCCUCAGCAGGAACCAAUCAAACAUCCACCCUUUGCACUUUUUUGUUGUUUAGUCGUUUAGUUGUGUCUGACUCUUCGUGACCCCAUGGACCAGAGCACGCCAGGCCCUCCUGUCUUCCACUUCCUCACGCAGUUUGGUCAAACUCAUGCUGGUAGCUUCGAGAAUAAUAUCCAACCAUCUCGUCCUCUGUCGUCCCCUUCUCCUUGUGCCCUCAAUCUUUCCCAACAUCAAGGUCUUUUCCAAGGAGUCUUCUCUUCUCAUGAGGUGGCCAAAGUAUUGGAGCCUCAGCUUCAUGAUCUGUCCUUCCAGUGAGCGCUCAUGAUCUGUCCUUCCAGUGAGCACUCAGGGCUGAUUUCCUUAAGAAUGGAUAAAUUUGAUCUUGCAGUCCAUGGGACUCUCAAGGGACUCUCUGCACUACCCAUGUAUAAAACGACCCCCACUUUUUAGCAUGAUUUUUAUAGAAAAGACAUAGUCUUGUAGACGGAAAAGUACAGUAUUUCUGUUGCUUGUAACCAAGUAUAAUGCUGAUAAUAAACCUGUCGGUUUGAUGUUUGGUUAAAAGAAAUCUCAAAACCAUUGUAAUUUCUGAAGGUUUUAUAGACUUAGUUUUCAAGCGAGAGUGGUUUGUUACACAGUCACAUUUAAAAAAAAAGAAAAUGAAAGGUUUUUAAAGUGUGUGUCACAAUUUACAGUACUUUUUGAAGAUAUAGGUUUUAGAUUUAAUGUAUUCUACUCAUAAUCUGCCUGCACACUUCAUUGUCACUUUGUAUAAUAAUUGACUUAAUUACGCCUCCUGAUACUGCUCAUAUACUUUCCUUCAGAAGGCAAUAGAUUAAUACCUGACCCAGUGCUUUUUUCUGGCAGUAUACAAUGGUACGCAGGACCACCACCUUUUUUGGGGGGAGGGUUAUUGGAUCCUGCCAGAGCAUUGUGCCUCCUUUGUUAAGGAGGCUUGGGAAAGGAGGCGCAAAGCCGUGUCCCAGCAGACCCUGUGGUGAAAAUAGGCAUGCGCAGUCAGGUACUGAGAGUACAGGAAAAGGUCUGGUGUUUCAGCAAGUCAUUUAAUUAUUGUGCAUCAUGUAAUAACUAUAUACUAAGAUCUCAAUGGAGUUCCAGUAAAACAUGUAAUUGUUUUGUAUGCAAUUGUUUUUCCUGGCCCCAAGGAAAUUUCGUCCCCAGAGCAACCGUCCAGAGUACCAGCACCAUUUUUUCUAGAAAGAAAGCACUGCCUAUCCCACAAUCCUUUGCAGAGGUAAGAGGAAAAAUGGGACUCUAUGGCAGGCAUGCUGUAUAUCUAUGCAGUGCCUCACCGGAGAACAAAAAAGGAAGACAAAAGGAGACUCCGGCUUAUUCUUUAUAACCAAGAGAAAGGAAUAACUAAAGCAACUCUGACUGUUACCUGUAUUACAAGGUGAAUCAGGAACACAAAUUACUAUGAUACAACUUUAGCUAAACCUAUUUCCAGGAGUAAUUAUUAAUGUAUCAUAGACAUUAGAGAGGUAGGGCACAUGUUAGGGUUGCCAUACGUCUGAAUUUUCCCAGAUCUGCCCUCUUUUUUGAGAGUAAAAGUUCACUCUCCAGAUUUUUUGAAUAUGCCAAAAUGUCAGGGUUGUUUUUUUGUUUUUUUUUGCAAACAAAGCCAGGAAGUGUGUGUGUGUGUGUGUGAGAGAGAGAGAGAGAGAGAGAGAGAGUAUCACUCUUUUCUUUUUCCUAUCUCUGUGGAUGUUCCUAUUUUCACCAGAGAAAUAUUGGAGGGCAUGGGGUGCAUGUCUGCAGUGCACAUGUGCCGUGAAAGGUGAGGUAGCCCAGCGUCCUCUUUUUUGCUCUUCAAAUUAAGACUUCACUCUCUUUCUUCUGUUCCCCACACCCAACAAACAGCCAAGACACUUCAUCUGUUUCCCUGGCCCCACACGGCUAAAAAGCAACUGGAUGAUUGAAAGAAUACCCAGUGUUAUGUACUGAGUUGAACAGGAUCCAAACUGCAGCAGUCUGGACUUCCGGAGGCGACGCCAGUGGUCGAUGGCGGAUUUCCUCGGUUAGAGGGAAUCAGCGCCACGAAAAAAAGGGUCGAAUCCCGCUUCGGCGCAGCGGGGGACCCCUAAAAAUCACACGCGGGGGAAGCCUGUGAGCCUGGGACCCAGCGGGCACAUUUGGCGCCCCCCCAACCCGGUAAAAAGCCCAGAAACGGGCUUGAAAUCGGAGCGGGGGAGAGCGCUGUGCUGUGGGCUGUCUGCUCGUUCGUGGUGUGAAGCCGCAAGCUGUUGACCGGAGAGCGCUGCCUUUCUUCCUUAAAAUCCGGACCUGGAAAUCAACGAUCCGUGAGUAGGAUAUAACCCAAAUUGGAACUGUACAAAUUGAAAAUUGAAAUCAGGCCGAAAACGGAAGGAGGCUUAAAAAGGAAGUCAGCCUCUUUUAUUGUAGAUAAAUUAAAGCAUUGAACUUGAAAGCGGAAGCAUUUGGAAAGUACGUUUUAGUGGAUUUUAAUCCAAUCAUCUAACCUGGACUUUUCCCUCUAUAAGUUGAGGGAAAAAGGGGGAGAUUUUUGGAGGUGAUUUCUUCAUAAAGAGUGGAAAAGAAGAGAUUAAACCAUCACUCAAUUCCCUGGGAAAGGAUUUUCCAGAUCCUAGGAAAGAAAGAGAGGUACUGUCUUGUAAUACAUUCUGACAGCUAGUCCUGCACUGGAAAUAAAAGUUUGGACAGAUUUUGUGAAUAUAUAUCUCCUGGUCCUAAGUUGAAAAUUGUGAUAGACUGUUUUCCUUCUGAACAAACUAGGGGGGCUUAAAAGGAAUUUAAAGUAUCCAAGAACUUUUAUGACUGUUACAGUGUCCCCCUAGUGGAACUUGGAACUGUUGCAACUUGUUAUAACUGUAAUUGUAGCAGGCUUGAGGAGUUCUCACACUGCUUGGGAGGAAAUUUCCACUGUUUAAUUCUAACUACGUGUCUGACCUUGAGAAUUAUCUAAGGAAUGGCAGAUAAAGAGAAGGCGGAUGCUUCGACUACAAGAUCGGGGAGGCCUCUUCGCUUAGAAGAAGGAUUACAAAGGAGAGCUUCGGCCUCAGGCCCCUCUGGAACCUCAACAACAGCCUCAUCGGCACAAUUAAAGGUAAAAAGUUCGACAAGUGAAGAAGCCUUUGCUCAAGUUUUGGCCAAAGUUAAUGAAUCUUUGAAUAAAAUAAGUCAACAAGUAGCAGAGGCUUCUGAUAAGAUUGACCAAAAUACAAUAAGUAUCAAUCAGAAUACAGCAAGUAUAAAUAAUUUGGGCCAAAAAGUAAAUACUAACACAGAGACUAUUCAGAAAUUAUUAGAGGAAUCGGCCUCAAUUCGCCAGAUUGCUGAAGAGGCUAAAGAAAUUGCUACAACUUCUGCUACGGAUGUUAAGGAGGUUCAAGAGGAAUUACCAACACUGCAUAAACAAUUGGAAGACCACAAACUAACUCUGUCUAUGAUAGAUUUGAAGGAGAAGCAAGUGAAUCUUCGGGUCAGAUCAGUACCUGAGGUGGAAAAGGACAAUUUAGCUGAAUUUCUCACGCAGGAAUUUUUGGACUUUUGGGACCCAGAACUGGCAAAAGACAGUUUCACAAUAGUAAAUGCUUUUAGACUUGGGAGAAGAGGAGAGAAGAAGGUGAGAGACUGCCUGAUUACUUUCCGAACAAAAGAAGAGAGGGAUAAGAUUUUGGGCCUACACUUCAAGAAGACACUGGAAAUCCAGCGGACAAGGGUGGAAAUAUUCAAAGAUAUUCCGAAAUAUCUUCUGGAUCUCAGAUCAAAAUACAAAGACCUGGUUAUCCUGCUGAGAAGGAACAACAUCAAUUUCAGGUGGGAACUCCUCAAGGCCUGUCUUUUAGUUACAAGGGAAAGAAGAGGAAAAUAAGAUCGGAAGACGAUAAAGAUAAAUUUUACAGGGACCACGGAGAAGACUUACAAAAAGAACUAUUUCCGGAACCAAAAGACCGUUCGAAAGAAGGGAUACCACCGACGGAUGAGGAACAGGCACUAGGUGCAGUAGGAGGAGAACUAAAACAAUAACAUCAUGGCCCUGCAACUUUUAACAUGGAACUGCCGGGGUUUGAAUUCCCCUCAGAAGAGGAAGUCAGUAUUUCAUAUAUUAAAAAGGAACAAUUAGACCUAAUUUGCUUACAAGAAACACAUAUAACAAGAUUACACAGGAAAUUGUUGAUAAAUAAAAGACUUGGUCAGGAAUUUAUUUCGUCAGAUAAAGUUAAAAAGAGAGGGGUUGUGAUUUACGCAAAAGACAAUUUAUCACCAAAAUUUGUUUUUAAGGAUGACCAAGGAAGAUUUGUGGCAAUUGAAAUUCAAACACAAGGAGAAAAAUUUUUGAUUGUAGGAGUUUACGCACCAAAUGACGGGAAAUCCGAUUUUUUUAAGAAGUUGCAUGAGACCCUGAUGGACCAUAUGGAUUACAACAUAAUUUUGAUGGGAGAUAUGAAUGGAGUGGUAUCUACUUAUAUGGACAAGGCACAAAGACAGGUAGUCACCAAAGAUGGUAGACUACCGAAAACCUUUUUUGACAUGACAGACAACUUGGACUUAGUGGAUAUUUGGAGAAUUAGAAACCCCUUGGCAAAAGAGGGAACUUUCUUUUCUGAAGCCAAAAUGACUUGGACAAGAAUUGACCAAAUUUGGAUAACUAGAGGAAUGGCACCAAAGACAAGAAAGGUGGAAAUCUGCCCGAAAAUUUGCUCCGACCAUAACGCUGUUAAGAUGGAAAUGAGACUAAUACCAACUGGCUCCUUCAGAUGGAAGAUGAAUGACACCUUAUUUAGAGAUGAAGAAUUUCUUAAGAAGGCCCAAAAAACUCUAAGAGACUACUUCGAGAUAAAUCUUAGUUCCAACGUGGAGAAAAGAGUAAUCUGGGAUGCAAGUAAAGCUGUUAUGAGAGGGUUCUUAAUACAACAGAAUGCGAUAAAGAAAAGAACUCAAAAUGAGAAGAAGGAUAAAAUUAUGAACAAAAUGAAUGAAUGUGAAAAAAGAUUGUGAGUAAAUCCCAAAUCUCAAGAGAUUUUGAGAGAGUUAAAGUUAUAUCAAGUACAAUAUAUGAAAAUAAUGAAUCAGGAAAUAGAAUGGAAAAUUAAACAAAUGAGACAAAAGACUUUUGAAUCGGCCAAUAAAUGUGGUAAAUUGUUGGCAUGGCAAAUGAAAAAGAGACAAAAGUUAAAUACGAUUACGAAUUUAGAAGUGGAAGGAAGGAAUAUACAGAACCCUGCAGAGAUUAGAAGUUGUUUCCAGAAGUAUUUUAAAAGACUAUACACUCAAGGGCCAGUGAAAGAAACAGACUUAGACCAAUUUUUGAAAACAAAUGGAUUACAAAAAAUAUCUCAAGAAAAGAGACUAAUUUUGAAUGACAGAAUAACGGAACAGGAAAUAGAAGGUGCCAUUCAAAACAUGCAACUGGGUAAAUCUCCAGGACCAGACGGCUUGACCUCUAGAUACUACAGAUCUUUAAAAGAAUGGCUAAUUCAACCAUUGAAAGAGGUCUGCAACGAAAUAAUGGAGGGGAGGAGGGCACCAGAGUCGUGGAAAGAAGCAUAUAUUACACUUGUACCAAAAACAGAGGCUGAAAAGACACAACUAAAGAACUACCGCCCUAUAUCAUUACUCAAUGUGGAUUACAAAAUUUUUGCAGAUAUUUUGGCGAAGAGAUUUAAAAAAAGUGCUGUUGGAAGAGAUUCAUAAAGACCAAGCGGGCUUUCUCCCAGGAAGACAUUUGUCUGAUAAUUUGAGGAAUAUAAUUGAUAUUUUGGAAAAACUAGAAGUGAAUAUAAACACUAAAGCAGUGUUGAUAUUCGUAGACGCGGAGAAAGCCUUUGACAAUAUUUCUUGGAAUUUUAUGAAGAAGAAUCUUCAGGGUAUGGGGGUAGGCCAAGGCUUUGAGAAUGGUAUAAGUGCAAUUUAUUCAGAACAAAAGGCUAAACUAAUUGUAAAUAACGUUGUGACGGAAGAACUUAAAAUUGAAAAAGGGACACGACAAGGUUGCCCAAUUUCCCCUCUUCUUUUUAUUUCGGUCCUGGAGGUGUUGCUGAAUAUGAUUAGAAGGGACCAGAUGGUUAAAGGUAUACAGGUCGGAACUAAACAUUAUAAAUUGAGAGCAUUUGCAGAUGACUUAGUAUUGACGUUACAGGAGCCAGAAUCUAGUACUAAAAGAGUUUUAGAACUGAUUCAAGAAUUUGGUCAAGUGGCAGGAUUUAAAUUGAACAAAUUAAAAACCAAGGUUCUAGAGAAAAACUUAACACCGUUUGAAAGAGAGAGGUUUCAGAAUGAGACAGGUUUAACAGUGGUUAAGAAAGUUAAAUACCUGGGGAUUAACAUGACAGCAAAAAUGGGAACUUAUUUAAGGAUAACUAUGAAAAAUGUUGGUCAGAAGUGAAAAAAGAUUUAGAAAUUUGGUCAAAUUUGAAGCUUUCACUGCUAGGCCGUAUUGCUGCGAUAAAAAUGAAUGUAUUGCCUAGAAUGUUGUUUUUGUUUCAAACUUUGCAGAUUGUGGACAAAAUGGACUGUUUCAAGAGGUGGCAGAAAGAUAUUUCUAAAUUUGUCUGGCAGGGCAAGAAACCCAGAAUAAAAUUUAAAAUACUAACAGAUGCAAAGGAAAGAGGUGGAUUUGCCCUGCCAGACCUCAAACUUUAUUAUGAAUCAGCAGCUUUCUGCUGGUUGAAAGAAUGGCUACUUCUUGAAAACACUGACAUUUUGGACUUGGAAGGUUUCAAUAAUGUAUUUGGAUGGCAUGCAUAUUUAUGGUAUGAUAAGGUCAAAGCACACAAAGCAUUUAAAAACCACAUUGUCAGGAAAGCGCUAUUUAAUGUUUGGAUAAGAUAUAAGGAUUUGCUAGAAAAUAAAACCCCAAGGUGGCUGUCACCAAUGGAAGCGAAAGCCUUGAAAAGGGUCAAUAUGGAGGUCAAAUGGCCGAAAUAUUGGGAAAUUUUGGAACAAGACGGAGAUAGACUGAAAUUGCAGAGUUUUGAAAAACUAAAAAACAAAGUGCGAGACUGGCUUCAUUAUUAUCAAAUAAUGGAGGCAUUUAAAUUGGACAGGAAAAUUGGCUUCCAGGUGGAAAGAUCAAAAUUAGAAACAGAAUUGUUAGAACCCAAUACUAAGAAUUUGUCAAGAAUGUAUAACUUGCUGCUGAAAUGGAAUACUCAAGAUGAAACGGUAAAAUCGGCUAUGAUUAAAUGGGCACAGGACGUAGGACAUAACAUUAUGUUUGCUGACUGGGAACAGUUAUGGACCACAGGUAUGAAAUUUACGGCAUGUAAUGCCUUAAGAGAGAAUAUUAUGAAAAUGAUAUACAGGUGGUACAUAACCCCAGUCAAGCUUGCGAAAAUCUAUCACUUGCCCGAUAACAAAUGCUGGAAAUGUAAAGAAAUUGAAGGUACAUUUUUUCACCUUUGGUGGACGUGCCCAAAGAUUAAGGUCUUCUGGGAAAUGAUAUAUAAUGAAUUAAAAAGGUAUUUAAGUAUACCUUCCCUAAGAAACCAGAGGCCUUUCUCCUGGGUAUAGUCGGCCAAAUGGUGUUAAAAAGGAUAGAACUUUCUUUAUGUAUGCAACAACAGCAGCAAGAAUACUCAUCGCAAAGUAUUGGAAGACACAAGAACUUCCCACGCUGGAGGAAUGGCAGAUGAAACUUAUGGACUAUAUGGAACUGGCUGAAAUGACUGGUAGAAUCCGUGACCAGGGAGAAGAGUCGAUGGAGGAAGACUGGAAGAAAUUCAAAGACUAUCUUCAGAAACACUGCAAAAUUAAGGAAUGUUAGAGUGAUGUUGGACUGAAAACAAGUGGUUUCCAGCUGCACAGGUUAAAGUUAUGGAAAUUUGAUAUUAAAAGGGAAAACUUUAAAGUUAUAUGAUAUUAAGACCAAGGACUAGGUUUAAAAAAAUUGAAGUUAUAUAUUUUAACAUUUUACUAAAUUAAAGAUUGGGAUUAAAAAAAAGUGGAAAAGAAAUUGCUGAACAAACAAUGUGGACUGGAAUACAAAGGAGGGAGGUUUGAGGAAGUCUAGAAAAUAAGUCACGUAAAAUUGGAAAUGGAAAAGAGAGUUUGUUUUUAAUUGUUGUGUUUUGUGUUUUUAUUGUUAAGUUUUGUAUUAUUUUUAUGUGAGUUUUUCUGUUGUUUUUUGUGUUAUAUUGUUUUAAACUUUAAUAAAAAUUAAAAAGAAACAAACAAACUGCAGCAGUCUGAUUGGUCCUAGAACAAUAGGAUUCAGAAUUCAGCAGUCUGAUUGGUCCUAGAACAAUGCAGCAGUAUGAUUGGUUGGCAGGAACCACCCAAUCAUGCUCCAGAUAUAAGUGAAUCCACAACCUGAUUGGCUUACAGUAGAAUUCCAGAAUUAGCCAAUCAUGUGCAGCCCAUUCUGUAAAUAAUGUAUAUAAAGCAGAUACUUUGAGGGGGACUUUCAUUCAUUCCCCCUCACCACUAUGAGCUGAAUAAAGAGCAUGAAAUCACUUUGCGACUCUGAGUAUAUUUCACUGGCGAUGAAGGUGGGAUCCCGCUGAGCUGACUGCCACACACAGCACCGCAGCACCGCCACCUGCCGCACCGCUGCCUCGCACCGUGUAUCCAGGCUUCAGCUCCGGGACACAAGGAACUCAGAAUGGCAACCGACAGCAGCUUCUCGCCGUUCAACCCAGCAUCUGGAGACUGGGAAGCGUACACCUCCCGUUUCACCUUCCUCCUAGAAGCCAAAGGGGUCACCGAUGAAGAAGACGCCAAGAAGAGGGCGAUAUUCUUUUUUUUAUAUAUAUAUAAAUAUUUAUUAAGGUUUUUACAGUAUUACAAAAUGAAAAAGAAAAAAGAAAAAAUACAAAAUAAAAAUAGUUAAAAACAAUUCAAUCUUUCCAUCACUUAUCUUUCAUUUGCUUGUUUCCUGGACCUCCUCAUACCUCCCUUUUUUGUAUUCCAGUUCAAUUUAUUAGUUCAGCAAUUCCUUUCCCUCCUUAUUUUAUCCUGAUCUUUAAUCUUAAAAUAUUAUAGCAUUAAAUUUUUGCCUAUUAAAAAUCCAUUUUUUCAUAUUCUUUUAUACCAUUACAGCUAGAAACCACCUAACGUCAAUCCAACAUCAUUCUAACAUUCAUUAAUUUUGCAGUAUUUCUGUAAAUAGUCUUUAAAUUUCUUCCAAUCGUCUUCCACCGACUCUUCUCCCUGGUCUCGGAUUCUACCAGUCAUUUCCGCCAAUUCCAUGUAGUCCAUCACCUUCAUCUGCCAUUCUUCCAGAGUGGGUAGGUCUUGUGUCUUCCAAUACUUUGCAAUAAGUAUUCUUGCUGCUGUUGUGGCAUACAUAAAGAAAGUUCUAUCCUUCUUUGGCCGACUAUGCCCAGGAGAAAGGCCUCUGGUUUCUUCAAGAAGGUAUAUUUAAAUACCUUUUUCAAUUCAUUAUAAAUCGUCUCCCAGAAAGCCUUAAUCGUUGGGCACGUCCACCAAAGGUGAAAGAAUGUACCUUCAGUUUCUUUACAUUUCCAAGAUUUAUUAUCGGGCAAGUGAUAGAUUUUUGCAAGCUUGACUGGGGUCAUGUACCACCUGUAUAUCAUUUUCAUAAUAUUCUCUCUUAAGGCAUUGCAUGCCGUAAACCUGUGGUCCAUAACUGCUCCCAGUCAGCCAUCAUUAUGUUAUGUCCAACAUCUUGUGCCCAUUUAAUCAUAGCAGAUUUCACCGUUUCAUCCUGAGUAUUCCAUUUCAACAGCAAGUUAUACAUCUUUGACAAAAUCUUACUUUUGGGUUCUAACAGUUCUGUUUCUAAUUUUGAUUUUUCCACCUGGAAGCCAAUUUUCUUGUCCAAAUUAUAUGCCUCCAUUAUCUGGUAAUAAUGAAGCCAGUCUCGCACUUUGUUUUUUAGUUUCUCAAAACUCUACAAUUUCAAUCUAUCUCCAUCUUGUUCCAAAAUUUCCCAAUAUUUAGGCCAUUUGACCUCCAUAUUGAGCUUUUUCUGAGCUUUCGCUUCCAUCGGUGACAGCCACCUUGGGGUUUUAUUUUCCAAUAAGUCCUUAUAUCUUAUCCAAACAUUAAACAAUGCUUUCCUGACAAUGUGAUUUUUAAAUGCUUUAUGCGCUUUGACCUUAUCAUACCACAGAUAUGCAUGCCAUCCAAAUACGUUGUUAAAACCUUCUAAAUCCAAAAUGUCUGUGUUUUCAAGAAGCAGCCAUUCUUUCAACCAGCAAAAAGCUGCUGAUUCAUAGUAAAGUUUAAAGUUUAAAGUCUGGCAGGGCAGUUUAUUUAUUUAUUUAUUUAUUUAUUUUAUUUAUGUCUGGCAGGGCAAAUCCACCUCUUUCCUUUGCAUCUGUUAGUAUUUUAAAUUUUAUUCUAGGCUUCUUGCCCUGCCAGACAAAUCUAGAAAUAUCUCUCUGCCACUUCUUGAAACAGUCCAUUCUUCAGCAUCUGCGGAGAGGAGAUGUUUGAAAUCGCCCGGGCUCUCCUUGCACCUGAAGCCGUCGCUACUGUUCCAUACAAAACAAUAAUGGAACAGCUGAAGGGGCACUUUUCGCUGCAGCCCUCAGUGGUGGCUCGUCGAAAUGCCUUCUACGCAAAGUGGCAAGCCCCUGGGGAAACCAUAACUGGGUUUGUGACCUCUCUCCGCCAAGCCGCCCAGUUCUGCAACUUCUCAGAGCUGGAGAAGAUGCUUUGGGACCGCCUCAUCGGUGGCCUGAAGGAUGAGAAGCUGCAACGACGCCUCUACGCUAAGAAGGACCUAACGUUCCAGGUCGCUCUGGAGGAGGCGCUGACAACGGAAGCUGCCAAGAGGUCGACGCAAGAGGCACAGCCGAGCCUGCCAUCCCAACCGAGGGUCCACCACAAAGACCUCACCGACGACUCAGGAUCUGACAGGGAGGAGGUGCACCGAGUACAGCAGUGCACUCAAGCAGCCCACAUACCACAGCUGCCUCGACAAGAAGGAGGGAACUGCGCAAGCUGCGGGGAAAGUCAUGAGAGGAGGACCUGCCGUUUCCGCAACACAGAGUGCAGGCAGUGCAGAAAAUCAGGACAUGUUGCCCGGGUGUGUCGAGCUCGGCCCACCCGACGCCAGGCAUCAGAUGACCAAUCCAAGAGCCCCAGGUCCCAGGGCCCAACGCACCAAGGCAACUCGACGGAGCUCACGGACUUCCAGGUAUACCAGUUGCCCCACACCAACGUAGAGAAAAUUUAUGCAGAGGUACAGAUAGAAGGGGCCCCAUGCCGCAUGGAGCUUGACACGGGUUCAACUCUAUCCAUAAUCUCGGCAAGGACCUUAAGGAAACUGUGUCCUACUGGGGGUCCCAAACUCAGGCCGGCCCCAUUCACCCUCCGGGACUUCCAGAAAUGUAAGGUCCCCACAAUGGGGGUGGGGACCUUCAGGGUGCAAUACCGAGGGCGGACGCGGCAACUGGACUUGCUUGUGGUCAAGGGCCCCUACAUUAGCUUACUGGGAUUGGCAUGGUUUGGACCACUGGGGCUAGCCAUCAGUGGGGUGAACCACACUACCUUACAAGUGGACGUGGACACCAUAUGCAAGGAAUUUCCAGGGGUUUUCGAUGGGAAAUUGGGACAGUAUACGGCCCCCCCCAUUGCUCUACAGCUUGACCCCGCAGUACGACCGGUCAGGCUCAAGGCCCGCCGGGUCCCGUUUGCCCUGAAACCCGGUAUAGACGAGGAAUUGGACCGGCUCGUGGAGCAAGGAGUGCUGGAGCCGGUGCCUAAUGCCCCCUGGGAAACCCCAAUCGUCAUACCCGUCAAGCCUAAUGGUUCGGUCCGCAUCUGCGCAGACUACGAAUGUACCAUAAACAAGGCCCUCACGGCCCAUGCAUACCCAGUGUCAGUGGUCAGCCAUGUCCUUGCCACCCUGGCUGGGUCGAAAAUUUUUGGCAAGCUGGACUUGGCCCAAGCAUAUCAACAGCUGCCAGUAGAUGAGGCCACAGCAGAGGCACAGACGAUUGUGACACACAGAGGAGCGUUCAGGGUAAAGCGGCUGCAAUUCGGUGUCAGUGUGGCACCAGGCAUAUUCCAGAAUCUAAUGGACUCGCUCCUUAAAGGGAUUCCUGGCGUCACCCCCUUCUUCGAUGAUGUGUUUAUUGCCGGGGCCCACACCAGAGGAGUUUGAGGACCGCCUCUGCACCAUUCUGCACCGUUUCCAGACGGCGGGUCUCAAGGUGAAGCGGGAAAAAUGUCUACUAGGAGUGCCUCAGGUGGACUUUCUGGGAUUUAUGGUGGACGCAGAAGGGGUCCACCCGACUGGGGACAAGGUACGGGCCAUUUGUGAUGCCCCAGCGCCCAAGAGCAAGACUGAACUUCAGGCCUUCUUGGGACUAUUGAACUUUUACCAUUCCUUCCUUCCCCACAAGGCGGCGGUAGCGGAGCCCCUACACAGACUCCUGGACAGCGAGCCCCUUGGGUGUGGGGCCAGCGCCAGGAGGCUGCAUUCCAGGCAGUCAAGGACUUGCUUGUCUCAAACUCGUUUUGGCACACUUCAACGAGAGGCUGCCGGUGGUGCUAGCAUGCGAUGCCUCGCCCUAUGGCAUUGGCGCUGUCCUGGGACACCAACUCCUGGAUGGAAGAGAGGUACCGGUAGCAUACUUUUCCCAGACACUCAACGCAACCGAGCGGAACUACUCGCAAAUAGACAAGGAGGGGCUGGCAAUCGUGAAGGGAGUAAAAAAAUUCCAUGAUUUCUUGUACGGGCGGCCCUUCACCGUGGUGACUGACCACAAGCCGUUGCUUGGCUUGUUUGCCCACGAAAAGCAGACCCCCCAAGUGCUGUCUCCUCGCGUCCUCAGGUGGUCAAUUUUCCUUGCCAGCUACCAGUAUGCACUGAUUCACCACCCGGGGAAGGCGAUGGGCCAUGCGGACGCCCUCAGCAGGCUACCACUACCGGAAACAGGCCCCGACCCAGCACCUGCACAAGAGGUUAUGAGCCUGGAGCUGCUUCCCGACCGCCCCAUUCAGGCACAAGAAGUUGCACACCAUUCCAAGAAAUAUAGGGUUAUCUCCCGGGUCCUGGACUGGGUGUGGCGGGGAUGGCCCAGCAGCAGCCCUGGGCCAGAAUUCGCUGGCUACACAACCCGCAAACAUGAACUGUCGGCCCACAAGGGGUGCCUGUUAUGGGGAAGCAGGGUCGUUGUUCCCCAGCCCCUCCGCAAAAGGGUCCUCACAGCCCUACACGAGACACACCCAGGGGUAGUAAGAAUGAAGGCCCUGGCCAGGAGUUAUGUGUGGUGGCCGGGGAUCGACGGAGAGAUAGAGGCCUGGGUCAAACACUGCCAGGCCUGCCAAGAAUCCCGCCCAGAUCCCCCAAGGGCCCCAGUCCAGUCCUGGGAGUCCGUCCGAGCACCAUGGUCACGCCAGCAUGUGGACUUCGCUGGCCCCUUUCAGGGGAAAACAUUCUUCAUAGUGGUGGACUCCUACACCAAAUGGCUGGAAGUCGCACUGGUACCGUCCACUUCUACAUCCGCAGCCAUCCGGGUACUAUGCAGGCUGUUUGCAACCCACGGGCUCCCUGACACUCUCGUCUCAGACAACGGGACUGCAUUUACGUCAGCAGAAUUCCAAACCUUCUGCGCAGAAUGCCAUCCGCCACAUCCAUUCGGCGCCAUUCCACCCUGCCGCCAAUGGCCAAGCAGAACGCAUGGUGCGGACCACCAAGGACACCCUUCGCCGCAUGACGCAAGGGGAUUGGGAGUACCGCCUUGCCACAUUCCUCCUAGCACAGCACAGCACCCCCAGCUCAACGACUGGCCGGAGCCCUGCUGAACUACUAAUGGGUCGGCGCCUUGCAAUUAGAUUGGACCGCCUUCACCCCGAUAGAGCUCAGGAUGAGGUAGUGGUGGGGGAAGGCAGGAACCCCCGGACCUUCGAGGCCCAGCACCCAGUGUACGCAAAUAAUUUUGGGGCAGGCCCAGCAUGGGUACCCGCCACAGUCACCCGGGUCACUGGCCCCGUGUCGUACGAGGUGGUAACGGAUGGGGGGCAAUGCUGGCGCCGCCACUGUGACCAAAUACGGCGACGAUUCCCGGGAGAAAACCAGGAGGAGGAAAGGUCAGAGGAGUCCCAAGGGAACAGAGGGGCAGUGAGGCCCAUAGAGCAGGAGGGGCCAGCAGGAGAGGCAGAAUCAGUAAAUACAGAGAGGACCCGCGAGGCCGAAAGGACACCGGAACCAGAACCACGACUGAGCGAGCCGGUUGCGCCAGACCAAACAGGCCCAUCACAGCCAGCAUCCUUGGAACACGAGCCAGAACCUGAACCCCAGACCAGGGAACACCACAGGCCGCAACGCACACGUAGGCCGCCGGCGUACCUCGAGGACUAUGAAUGCGACCUCCCGGGCAAGACUGGAACUUAGAGGGGAGGGGUGUUAUGUACUGAGUUGAAUAGGAUCCAAACUGCAGCAGUCUGAUUGGUCCUAGAACAAUAGGAUCCAAAUUGCAGCAGUCUGAUUGGUCCUAGAACAAUAGGAUUCAGAAUGCAGCAGUCUGAUUGGUCCUAGAACAAUGCAGCAGUAUGAUUGGUUGGCAGGAACCACCCAAUCAUGCUCCAGAUAUAAGUGAAUCCACAACCUGAUUGGCUUACAGUAGAAUUCCAGAAUUAGCCAAUCAUGUGCAGCCCGUUCUGUAAAUAAUGUAUAUAAAGCAGAUACUUUGAGGGGACUUUCAUUCAUUCCUCCUCACCACUAUGAGCUGAAUAAAGAGCAUGAAAUCACUUUGCGACUCUGAGUAUAUUUCACCUAACCAAUAAGCAAAGAGACAGUCUUUACAGUAGGGAUCUGAGAGAAGCUGGUGAAGAGGUGGGUUUCUUUUUUCUCUUUUGUCUGCUUGCUUACUUUUGCAAGCUUGGUUGUGCUACAAUGCCCUUCCUUGUUCAAAAGCUGGCAUGGAUGGUGAUGGGCAAGGAGUCUCCUCCGUGGUGGGAUGGAGGUCUCAGCCAAUGGGAAGGGGAAAAUGACUGUACAGUUUCAGACUCAGCAGAAGCUGGACUUUAAGCAACGUGCAAGUAGCCUGUUGGAAAGUGGUUGAAAAAAAGCCCUGACUGUACUAGAGAAAAGUGAAGCAAGUCUGUACCUGUGCCUGUGUGCCUUAAAAUCAAUGCAUUUAGGAUUCCGUGCAGAAGGCCCCCCCCUUGAGCCCCCACAGAGGCUCCUGCUCCCUCCUCAGGAUUUUCUAGACCAGCUCCCCUCACUCAGAGCCCAGGGCUAGACUUCCUCCUCCUCUUAGCUCUGAAAUGGAUGUGCCAAGGAAGGUUUGCUUGCAUCUCCACCCUUUGGACCUUGUAGGGCUUUAUGGGGCUGAGUUGGGCAGGAAAAGAGAUCUGAGCCAAUUUGCCCUAAAAUAAAGAGCUCCUUAUCCAAAGCAAGUUGACAGCCAGAAUUAUAUCUGGCUUUAUACGCCAUGCUGUAAUCUCUCAUCAACCAGCCUUUGAUGACAGGCAAAUCAAUAUGCCAUGAUUCCCCCUCCCCCGCUGCAUUAUAAAUUCCCAGUGUGAGUGGGGUUAGGGUUAAUGGAUUGGAAAAGGAUUUUGUUCACAGUGGUGAGAUUGCUAUAUGCACAAAGGUGGAAGGAUACAGCCUUACCCACUAUAGAAGAAUGGCUGAUAAAACUAUUGGACUUGGCUGAGAUGGCAAAGUUAACGUGUUUAAUUAGAAAAAAGUAAUUACUGAUAUUUCUUAAGGAUUGGAAAGUUCUUAUGGACUUUUGUGUGAAAGAGAAAAUGAACUUGUAAUACCUGGAUUUGAAGAUUGAAAAAAUACUGGUUUACAAAAAUAUAAUGGUUGGAUUUAAUGAGUGAAUACUCUAUUUGGCUGCAGGACAGAGAGCUGGAAGUUGUUUUAACUUUCUUCAUCUUCAAUCUCCCCCCCACCCACCCCUCUCCUCUUUGGCUUUCUCUCUCCUUAGGUUUUUCUUUUCUUUUCUUCUGUCUGCCCUUUUUUUUUUUUAUAUUAAGUAGCUGUUUUAAUUCAGCAUAUUAUAAAAUAUGCUUUAUGAUGGGUAUUUCUGUAUAUCUUUGAAUAAGUAUCAAUAAAUGAUUAUAAAAAGGGCAAAAAAGAGAGAAUUUAUAACACAGAAAUUUGUGAAGAAAUUAUGGUACAAUCUAUCAUGACCCAGAGAUGUCUCAUUAUUAUAUAACCUCUGAGACUAUUCUGCUGUUUACAUCUAAUCUUCUGUUUUAUUAUUUUCUAUAUGGAAAUACUCAAUAAUAUGUACAAAAUGUGCAUAAAAUGAAGACACCCAACCAAGUAAUUGUGCGUAGUUCAGCUACCUCUUUUCAGUUUAAGCUUGAAGUGAUAUCUUUCUUUAAACUCCUACUAGAAUUGCUUGUAUUUUCUCUCCUUAUUUUCUUUGUCUUAAUCUGGCACAUAUGAAAGGUUAUUUUCUGUGGCACUCACACUUGCUAAAACUUAAUAGGAAAAAUCUUUGUAAGCAGCACCAUGGUAUCAGUCACCGAUGCAAGCAGUAAUUUUGUGCCCAAAAGCUGUCUGAUACCCUUUUUUGGAAGAGAUGCCCUGCUGAUAAGGAAAUUGGAAAGUCUCAACACAUAGGGGAUAGGGGAGCUGAAAAUAAGGCUGCUAUUUCAUAUCUGGCAACCAAUGCACCCCUUUGGUUUCCAAUGGUACAUGGGUAUAGGUAAAGGUAAAGGGACCCCCGACCAUUAGGUCCAGUCAUGACCGACUCUGGAGUUGCGGCGCUCAUCUCACUUUAUUGGCCGAGGGAGCUGGCGUACAGCUUCCAGGUCAUGUAGCCAGCAUGACUAAGCAGCUUCUGGCGAACCAGAGCAGUGCACGGAAAUGCCAUUUACCUUCCCGCCAGAGCGGUACUUAUUUAUCUACUUGCACUUUGACGUGCUUUCGAACUGCUAGGUUGGCAGGAGCAGGGACUGAGCAAUGGGAGUUCACCCAGUCGCGGGGAUUCGAACCGCCAACCUUCUGAUCAGCAAGUCCUAGGCUCUGUGGUUUAACCCACAGUGCCACCCGCGUCAGUACAUGGGUAGAUGAUUCUAAAAAGCCUGGGACACAAAUUUUCUCCUCUAAGUUGAAUAUUAUUGUAUUUGAAAUUUGUUUGUUUCUCAUUCUUGUACUGAUGUGUUAAAAUUACAGUUAUGCCUGAUGGGUGCCCUUAUCAUUGAUUAAAGGUGGGGAGUGGGGAUGGCAUUUUUAUGGUCAUAUUUGGCGGGCGGGGGUGUCAUACUGAUGGAGGCUUAGUUUGGUCGGAAUGGUGGUCUUGACUAUGCUACCACUCAGUGGAUUUGUAACUGGCUGACUGACCGAACCCAAAGGGUGCUCAUCAAUGGUUCCUCUUCAUCCUGGAGAAGAGUGACUAGUGGGGAGCCACAGGGUUCUGUCUUGGGCCCGGUCUUAUUCAACAUCUUUAUCAACGACUUGGAUGAUGGAGUCAAGGGCAUCCUGAUCAAAUUUGCAGAUGACACCAAACUGGGAGGGGUGGCUAACACCCCAGAGGACAGGAUCACACUUCAAAAUGACCUUGACAGAUUAGAGAACUGGGCCAAAACAAACAAGAUGAAUUUUAACAGGGAGAAAUGUAAAGUAUUGCACUUGGGCAAAAAAAAUGAGAGGCACAAAUACAAGAUGGGUGACACCUGGCUUGAGAUGUCAAACUCAGCCAAGAGCAUAAGGUCAAACAAAUUCCUCACUGGCCUUGCAGACAACUUCAUUGUCCAGAAAGUGGGAGAAGCAACAAGAGGAACAGCCAUUUUAGAUCUGGUCCUAACCAAUGUUGAUGACCUGGUUAGUGGGGUAGAAGUGGAAGGAUCAUUAGGCGCGAGUGAUCAUGCUCUUCUGAAGUUUACUAUACAGCGGAAAGGAGCAGCCAAGCAUACUAGGACUCAAUUUCUUGACUUUAAGAAAGCUGACUUCAUAAAACUUAGGGAAGUGCUGGGUGAGAUCCCAUGGACAGUAAUACUAAAAGGAAAGGGAGUUCAUGAUGGCUGGGAGUUUGUUAAGAGGGAGAUACUAAAAGCACAACGUUAGGCAAUACCAAUGAGACAGAAACAUGGAAGGUGCCUAAAGAAGCCAGGGUGGCUAUCUAAAGAACUUUUAACUGAGUUAAGAUUAAAAAAAGAUGUGUACAAAAAAUGGAAAAGGGGGGAAACCACCAAAGAGGAAUUCAAACAAAUAGCCAGCAUGUGUAGACACAAAGUCAGAAAAGCUAAAGCACAGAAUGAACUCAGGCUUGCUAGAGAGGUUAAAAGCAACAAAAAAGGCUUUUAUGGGUAUGUCCGUAGCAAAAGGAAGAACAAAGAAACAGUGGGGUCACUCAGAGGAGAAGAUGGUGAAAUGCAAACAGGAGAC